rnacentral:lncRNA from 1 species
GACUGUAUAUAGAAUGGACAGAGUCUGCCUCCUCGCUGGGUGAAGCCACUCCGAGAACAGCACCCUCUGUUGAUGGGCUGCAGUAUAGGUCAUAAAUCCCGCCUCCGCCAGCAAAGAUUAUGGAGCUGUGGACAAACUUAAAAAAUGUAUUACACAGAACAUACAUUUUUAUCCCUCCUGAUUGUGAUGUUGACAUGUAGUUACUGUCAGACUGGUUUGUGCCCAAGUCCUCUUUUUUUCUGUGAAGCUCCAUUUUUAAAAGUUAUUAGGGGUUCAUGUUUGCUAUGAUUGACACCUGAUACAGCCUAUGGGCGUUCAGGGAUUGCGUAGCUCUCCCAGGGGAUAUGCUGUUUGAGCCGAGUGUCAUCAUAGCGACUCUCUUCAACUGUGCGGCCAAAUGCGCGCAUUGCUACUGCGCAGCGCUGGUUUCAGGAAAUGAAGAAAAAUCCUGGAAAUAUCGAGAGCUAUUUGGCUUCAAAUCUGUAUACAGGCAGUAGGCGGAACAAAGUUGUCCAUAGUAUAUACAGUCUAUGGAUACAGCCUAUGGGCAUUCAGGGAUUGCGUAGCUCUCCUGGGGUGAUACGCUGUUUGAGCCGAGCGUCAUCACAGCGACUCUCAGCGACUGCGCGGCCGAAUGCACGCAUCGCAACUGCGCAGCUCUGGUUUCAGAAAUGUAGAAAAGUCCCGGAAAUACAGAGAGCUUUUUGGCUCCAAAUCCGUAUACAGGCGGUAGGCGGAACCAAGUUGUCCAUGGUAUAUACAGUCUAUGGUUUGGCCCCACUCACUGCUAAUUUCAUUACUUGAAACAAAUUAUUAAUAUAGUGUUAGGUAAUUCAAUAUUAAAUCACACUUGGAUGAAUGGGUCGUUUUUGACCCAUGUGUGUAAACCUGAUGUAAUAAUAUAGAAACUAUAUUAUUUCAUAAAGUAUGAAAAGAAAAAUAGAAAUAAUGAUCAGUGGUGAUCAAAAACAAGAUAUUUAAAGAAUACUUGGAAUAUUCAAUCAGAAAAUAAACUUAUUUCAAAAGAUAGAACAAAGAAAAACUCAGCCAGCAUGAAAUACCAUUGGAAAUGAAUGCGGGUCUUUUAGAGGGGGUGUGGAUAUGUUGCGCAUCAAAGGGUUAACAUGUUGUUCAUGCUGUAACACCUGCAACUCUGGGAUUUUUCAAGCUGUGAUGACUAUUAUAAGGAGUGACCACUCAGACAGUAAGGUGGUUAUCACACUUUUUUUAAAUGUAUUUAUUUAUUUCAUUUUUAUUUAUUGAUUUUUUUAAUAAUUCAAUUAAAGUCAAUUCAGUGGAAGUGUUACUGUUGAAGCUGCAACUGGUUCAUUGCAAACUAACCAGCUUACAGUCUAUACAGCAAAAAUCAAAAGAUUUAGAUUCUUUUAGUAAAGCUGUAAGUGCAAAAAUAUCAAAACUGAGUAUUUACGUGUCUGGUUAAAUCAAUUCUCCACCUUUUGACACUUCCCUCAGGCAGUUUUCAAACUCCUCUGUUUCCCUCUGUGACCCGCAGAAGGAGCAGAAAUGCAGCAUUCAUCUGCACAGACUCUAUGGUGGUUAACUGACACCUUAAAUUUCUGCUAAGGCUAACAAAAGGAGACAUCUGGUGCAUAUUUUACCCUUAUUUCUUCCUUUUUUCCCAUUGAAACAGUUUUUGGUGAAAUGAAUGCAUCAGGAAAAUUGAAAACUGAACUGUCAUUUUGUUCUGAAUUGUUCCAAUCUCACAGAAUAAAGACAGAAAUGAAGACUAACUUGUUCUGGUGUAAAGCUUUUAAAAGGAGAAAGAAACUGGGAAGGCUUGUCUUUGUUAGUACUGUAUGUGAAGCUUUCCAAUUACUCUUUGAUGAAAAACAAUCUUUGUGAUCCUUCUUCAGUGUCAUCCUGACAAAGACGGAUCGUUUCUUUCUAACCUUCACAAAUCAAAAGUUCAUAAACACAAGUUUGAUGAAAGUGAAGAUUGAUUUGGUAUUUUUACGUCUACUUUAAAAACAAAUCAAAGUCAUCCAAAACAAAUUUUUACCAUCUGUCCUAGAAACCAUGGGCCCCCCCCCCCCCCCAUUUUGAAAAUGGAGGUUUCAAAAAAAUGUCAUGUGUGGGACUUAUCUAUGCAUUCCUGUUGCACUGUACUAUACUGAAUCACAAGGUUUUGACUUGGUUCAAACACAGGUGGUUUUUCAGGAGCAGCUUUUAAUUUUCUGUAAACUAUGCUGAGUUUGACAAAGUAUGGCAUCACUUAUCCUAAGGUGACCCAUGUAAUGUGUUAUAUGUCAUCUCCUGAAGUCCCUACCAUCACAGUACUAUCUGAAAGUCUUGUACAGUUUAUCAUCUUGUUCUCUUUUUCUUCCCUAAAUUAGGUCUUUGGGGAACUGUUAACUACCAUUUAUUAUAGUUUUGACCAUUUUCAUGACUUUGUUUAUAUAAUAUGGACGAGAUGUUGGCUUGUGUUCCCCCAGUAAGACUGGUGAAGUAUUAAAGUUGUCCAUUCAUUUCCAGACUUUUUUCUUUCUUUUUUUUCUGUGGGUUUGUGGCAGCAGGAGGUCCUGAUUUGUCUGCAAAAAAGUCCUGAGCGGGUUGGAAACACACAAACUUCAUGUUUAUUUUAUAGAGCUAAACGUCUUAUUUAUAAAUAUGCGCAGUCCAAUGCAAUGCUGCAACUUUGCAACAAUAAGCUGUUCAUUGGGAGAUAACAAUUUUAGAAUUUUUCUUCGUUACCCACUGUUAUAACACUGGGUGAAAAGCCAUGAAAAAGUGAACUUCCCCUAUUGAGUGAUAUUUUUAUUUAUGGGAAAAGCUCUUCUAAAGAAAAACAGAAGUAAAUUUGAAGACACAGAUUAUUUAAGCAAACUUAGAGUCAACAUGCAUGCAGAUAAACCUCAAGCUUAAGUGAAAAUCUAACAAAAAUUGGAGAAAAGACAAAGGAUAAAAAGACACAUUUUGUGGCGUUGUAGGGGAAAAAAGAGGCACAGAGCUACAGAUGUGUUUGUGCUUUUAUGUCAUGGGGAAAAUAUGCUCCACUCAACCUAAAAAAUGGACGUACGGUGGACGCACAAUCAAUGUUUUUUUUCAAGAAUUAAGAGGAUGAGGCUCAGAUUAGCUGAAAUCAGAAAAGCAGAUUGGUAAAAGUGUAAAGGGUUACAAAGAAAGCUAGCACUGUGAUGUGGGGGUGUCACAAUUCUGCAAAUCCUCGAUUUGAUUUAAUUUUUGAUUUUAGGGUCACAAUUCGAUUCUUUUUCUUUUUCUUACAGCACAGAGGGCUAUGUCAUUUUUAGACUAGUCUAGACUACGAUCAUUGGUUUUAUUCAUUACAUUUUGUACAAUAAAUCUUAUUUCAAAAGAUGGGCUACAUACAAGUGAUGCACUUUCCAUUAUUCUUGUAAAAUGUAUCACAUUAAGCAAUCAGAAUGCCCUUUAUUGUUAUCAUGCUGAAAGUACAACAAGAUUGGAGAUUUAUGUAAUAAUCUUGUUUUCAGUAAAGUGAAAACAAAAACAAGCAUAAUAACAAUAAAAAUAAAAACUCACAGAACUUUCAUCGGCUACAAUGUGCAGCGUCAUCAUUUGCUUCCGCUUACACCUCCUGGAUGUGGAGGGAGAGGAUGGUCGAUCCUCUCUUUGAUUUCGAUUAUCAAGACCAUGAUGUAAUUUUGAUCGAUUUUGAUAAAAAUUCAAAAUGGUGACACCCCUACUGUAAUGGCAGUUAUGUGCGCACCCACACUUGGCUCAGUUUUACCUGUAACCAUGCCAAAGUAGAAGACACAUGCAUGUAAUAUCAGCCUAUUAUACCCUUCUUUCAAAAGAGGCUCUGUGAACAAACACAGAAAACAUGUUUGCAACUUUACUGUCACAGAGUUGACUUUCCUGUCAGUUUUCAAAGCUGUGUCAAACUUUAUUGCCAUCUAUAAAGCUAUUACCCACAGCACAGUCCUCCUCGUUCCUCGUUGUAAACCAGCGUGGUGUGAUCCAUAUCCUGAUCAGUUAGCAGAGGAUCGUGAUCAUGCCUUUCUCAAGCUUUUGAGAGCAACACUGACAGCUUAAAAGUGCCAUAUCAGACUGUUUUCUCUUUACCACAGUGUUUGACAUGUAGAUUUUGAGUAAAAGUCAAGAAAUCAGCUGCUUCAAACUGAACUUUGGGGGUAAAACAUGUCUGAGUGCAGUAUGGGUUGCUUGGUGUGAGUGUGCCUCUGGAAGCAGUUUCUGCAACACUUGCCAAGACCAGAGCUCCGUUCAUGUAUGCUAAUUAUUUUUCCUAAAUACAAGCCUGCUCAAAAUGAACUUACAAAAACUACAAAUAAAAGCCAACCAUAGCUGACAGCAAAGACUUGUCUCUCUAUUCUUCAUACUAAAAUUCAUAUUCAGAUGUUUGUUGAUAAGAAGACCAUGCUGGUUCACCUGUGGUUUGUGAGGAAGAGAUAAGCAUUGAUUUGAUUCCCUGAAAAAAUGCCUGCACAUUGUUUCACAUGCUAAAAAUACAUCUUAUGGCUGAUAGUAGAUUCUCAACACUUCAGGGUCAUAUUUAACUGUGAUGGUAGAGAUGCAAAUGAAGGUCGAAUAUUUUGAGCAGAGAGCAGCAUGAAGAGGCACCAUUCUAACGCUCAGUAUCAGAAUUUUGAUGCUUAUGGUGAUUUGGCUUUAAAACCUCUGGGUGUAGAAGGACUGCAGUGCAGAGGAGUCACUGAGUGCAUCUUGGAGGCAGCAGAAAAGGCCUCCUGGUGGUUGUGGAUCUGGAAGGGUAGUCUGUGGAAAAAGGGAAGCCACUUGGACACCUGUGGAGGACUAAUCACCCCCGACUGGGUCGGCUGAGUGAGGGUGACUGAUGAAAAAGACCUGAACACACUCUCUGACCCUGAGUUCAACGUUGAUGAGGUGUCCAAGUCACAUAAAAAGGAGUGCAGAUAUUCAAAAUGAAAAAGAGAUACAAAGAAAGAAUCGUCAUAUAAAUCCAAUAGAAGUUCCUUCCUACACGUGUUGUAAAAAAGCUCUGAAGAUGGCUUCCACCUGAAAAUAAUCCUGAAUUGGUCUGAUGAAACCUGAUCAUUUCACAGUGUCAGAGCAGUAUAAGCUCUUUAUGAGGGAGAUCUUCUCAGGCAGAUCUACUGUAUGUUCGGUGGUGUUCACCUUGUUCUUGAACCUUCCUUCAUAUGAAAUAGUUAUUGGUGCUCAAACUGGCCCUGCCACAAGGAGAUUUUUACCUGUGGUUUCGCCUGCUCCAUCUACAAAGAGCCGUCUCGGUGUUUGAUCACUUCCUGAUGAAAAACGAAUGUUUUCACAGCGCACCAGGCCAGAUUAGGACUUCCAGCAUGAUCAAAUAUGCUUUGAUUAAUAAAAAGGUUGUGAAAUCAACUGAAAAUCAACUGUAAAUACACACUCACUCGAGUGGCUCCUGGCAGUCAGCAAGCAGAAUGUACGAGUGCACGCGUGUGUGUGUGUGUGUGUGUGUGUGUGCGUGCGUGCGUGUGUGUGUGUGCUGUCAUGCUGAGAAGCAGCAGGCAAAUAUUUCACACUGAGAAGUAAAUAUUCACUUAGAGAUAAGAUCGGGAGCACCUUUCUCUCUUUCUUCUGCCUCUUUGUCCGGCACUCAUCCCUCUCUUUCUUCCCUCUGAGUAAAUAUAUAUGUACAUAUCAAUCUCUCUCCCUCUCUGGGUGCAGGUAUACUCCACUGACUACACACUGCACUGCUUAUCUCCACUGAGCAGGCUGCGCAGUCAGAGCCUGUGUGUGUGUGAGCAGAUAGAGGCAGGAGCAGUGGAUUGUGGACAGCAGGGUUUUGACUGGGCUUUUCUUUUUGCUACAAGAGGGAUUCAACUCACACACACACACACACACACACACACACACACACACACACACACACACACACACAUUUUGGAGCUUACACAUCACAGAGGGGGACAUUUUUGGGGGAGGAGAAGGGGUCGCUUAAGAUGUGGCGCACAGUUGAGAGUCGAGUGGCUUGUCUUUAAAAGAAACAGUGCUAAACAGAUUUUUAUCAGGUGGAAUUUGCAGCAGGAGGGCCCAAACUUAAAGGACUAGUCCCCCAAAAAAUAGAGCUUUGUGAGGUGCUGGAAGUUUCUGCAGAACAUGAGUAGAGUACUGCAUGUUGAGGUCAAAUAAGGCUGGAAUAAGUUUUUUUUUUUUUUUUUUUUUGACAAAAGUUAAUAGACAAUAGACAACAAACAAAACAAAAAACAAACAAACCAAAGCUUAAUAUAUCAGCGUUACAAUAAUGUCCUACAUUCCCCACAAUUGUUUAGCAAACCUUCAGAUUCAUACUGUGAAGAUCACAUUCAAUAAAAUGUCAAGUAAGAUUUUCAAGUAGCGAUGCACAAACAUUAUGGUCAAAAUAUCUCCUCUUAGCAGAUAACUGCGAAAAAGUUAUUAUCUAGGGCAUUAAUGGCCAAUCAGUCUACAGCGUGUGCUCUGUGUACUGAGGUUAGAGCCUACCCAAGGGUUUGAUUCUGGUCUGUGGCUCCUUUCCUGUUCCUUUUUCCUGCUUUUUCACUGUCCUGUCCUUUCCAUUAAAAACACAAACAGACAGAAAAUAAAGAAGAAAAUUGAAAUCAUACUAACAAAUUGAGAAGAGAUGAGACAUCAAAUAACGUGCACACAAUGACUACCUGCAGAAGUGUUGGUCGUAUGGAAAUAUUCAAGUGUUAGAGACAGACAGCAAAUACAUUAAGAUUUGUUAAAAUCAACCAUCAGUCAUGGUAAAAAUCAAAUAUUGUCUAUCUUAAAUGUUGCCAGAGUUAUCAAACAGUCAGAAUGAGUGUAGUACAUUCUCCUACAGGGAAAACGUUGAGUAUGCUUAUCCAUAACCUGUCUAAAUGAGUUUGAAAAAAUCGGCAUAUUGAAAAUUUAAUGGUAGUCCAAUUUUAAAAGCAUUUGAUCACUUUUCACAAUUAUGGCACAUGGAAAAAGACAGAUAAAAACAAAGAGCUCAGUAAAAAAUGUCAUAAGGAACCCAGACAAUACAAGAACCAUACAACAUAAAAUGAGACCGUGAGGACCAAAAUAAAAACAAAAAAUAGUUAAGAAAAAAGGAAAAUGCAAUCAAAAGGGAGAACGAAAGCGGAAACAGGAUAGUAAAUAUAAGAGGCAAUAUCAGCAAUGAUAAUAAAAUAAUAAAAGGUAAUACUGAUAAUAAACGUAAUGAUAAAAUAGAGUAACAGAAAUGAGCAAGAGAUAUAACAAUAAAAGGCCUUCAAGGUUAAUUAAGUAAAGAGUACAAGUAUGGCAAAAGCUAAAAUUACACUAAGGCUGAAAUAAGAUAGCGGUAAAAGAGAUAAGAGAUGACAGAUAAAAGAUAGAGAUAAAAGAUGCUGUUUUUUAACCCUAUAAAUACCUCUGUCCCCUACCCUUCUGCAUUCCAGGGUCUUGCAGAGUGGGGCAGACACAUGCAAACAUAAUAAAAAUUAGACUGAUGCUUUAAAACAGUAGAAAAGAAAUAAAUGUAGUUGACUUAUUUACGCAACUAUAAUUAUGAUUUAUAGUAUUGGGGUUCUGUAUGGGAGCUCAUCUGGCUCAAAUGUUAAAGAUGUUUUUAGUUGUCCUUUUUGCCCUCUUUUAUGAGUUGUAUUUAGGUUUAAAUUGAUUGAUUGAAGUAAUUGUGCUCUGAAUUUAAACAUAAUACCGCACUACCGCAAAACAUGUACUUUAACAAAACUUAGCGUGCACACACACACAUACACAAAAAACCUUUACUUUAAAGCUGGUAAAAGUAUGAUUGCCCGGUAACUGCCAGUAACUGCUGUAACUGGUGGGUCGAAAGUUAAUUUUGGGUCCUGUAAUGCAAAGGCAACAAUACGAAUGUUGGAACUGAGAUUUACUGAUCAUUUAGGUGUGUGAAGCUAUGUGGGAAAUUGGUUACUCAUAUCAUAACAAGUUCAUGUAGUUUGUUGUUUCUCUUUGUAACACAGUAAAAAGAAGGAAAAAGUAAAUCUGGCCCAUGUAUGACCUGCCUUCACUUCAUAGUACCUUUUUUCAUCCUUUAUUUUCAACACCACUCAUGAAGAGACUGAAACCUUUAUUGUAAUGACUAACAAGUAUCAUGCGUCAAACUGAAAUCUCUUUAUGCCUCAGCCCUCUUUGUCUGAGAGCUUCCCAGUAAAUCAGACUUAAAUGAUCCUCAUGUUCUCUGAUGUUUUCUCUUAUCGCCACCAGGAGGGGGACAGAGAGAGAAGUGGGAGACAGACUCCAAUGAUCUCUCUGGAGAAAUCCCUCUGUCUAGAUGUAAAUGUGUCAGAGUGAGUCUCAGAGAACAGGAAAAAAGGCUACCUCUACAACAUCCAGGAAGUGAACCAACACUGAACUGCUCUUAAACUGGCCUCCCUUGAGCUUCUGAGCCAGGAGUCUAAAGACUGGUGAACCACUAAAACCUGGGAAGGUCCCAGACCCUGUGCACAGGGAUGAAAUAAUUUAGAAAAGUAGUUAAUUCUCUGAAUUUGAAGCCUGGAUGUCACAUGUAAGCUGAGUAAGUGGUCACAAGUUCUUCUCAUGUUGACUGCAAAAUGAAAGUUUGGAGAGGUGCUGACAAACCUAUGGAAACUCUUUUAAAUGUGCUGUGUAUGUGCAAGCAUGGUGGGCCACCAGUUUGGAUCUGCUUGGUACUAUUUAGUUUAAAUGCAUGAUUAUGAGGAGACCAAGCUUCACUUAUCACUAUACUGCAGCAGGUACAUGCAAAUAUUGUUGACCCUUUCUUUUCUGUCAUCCGGACAGAAGAUUAUAUCUAUUUUUGAAAACAGAGAAAAAGCAUGUUCAGAAGCCAGAGUCUGUUUAUCGUUCUGCAUUGAGAUUUAUAACAGGUGACCCCCUAUGGCACUCAUCAUUGCAUUCUUUACCCUGGGGCUGGAUAGUCCUCUCUGAAGUGUGAGAACUACCUCAUGUACAAAGCUUUAACCGGGAACCUUUCACCAUACCUCACUGAUCUUUUUUAUUAGACGUCAAACCAGUUCCUGGAGUUCAAUCUGAACUUGGACAGACAGCUCCCUGUUUCUCAGAACUUAAAUCCUGAAGCAACUUCUUGGCAUAAAUUAACUCUAACCUUUUAUCCAUUUUACAAAAAUCUGAUUUUGAGCCUCCGUGACAACAGCUUUACAUGAGUGUACUUACAAAUAAAAAGAUAAAAAGUGUAUUUGAGAUUCCCACGUUGAAGAAAUCUGCAGAGGUCAACACAAACAUCAAUGUAAUAUGUGACCCUAACUGCAGACAAACCACCUUCUCUAUCAAAGCAAGUGCACACAGAAUCACAGGAACACACACACACACACACACACACACACACACACACACACACACACACACACACACACACACACAAAGAAAACCUUUCACCUUUCAUACCUCACUUAGACAGGCAGUUCCUUAUUUUUUGUUUUAUUUCUUCGCAGGCUGCACAACAGUCGACUGCAUUUAUAUGUGCAAUAGAAUGAAGGAUUUUUCUUGAAAUCUUGAGCGACAGAGGUUAAAGAAUUUAGCAGCAAAAAUAACAAGUGUGUAGCUGUGAAACACUCGAAAAACUCCAAUGUCAGCCCAUGUAUUUGUCACGUUAAAAGACUUGGAGAUCUUUGGGUUAGUCAGAUUAGUCUGCUUGUUACAAUCCCGCCUUAAAGACCUUUGACAUAAACUUAAACAAGAUGCAUAUUUUGACUUGUUGGAUCAAUGUGGCACGGUUAAGUCUACUGAGAUUCUUUGGAUUGGAAAAAAAGACUCAUGCUUGUGCUUAAAUUUGAGUGUUUGCAGUGUUGUUCUCACUUGUUACAAUGUCAUUUCUUUCAGAUCACUUGAAAAAUCUAGCCUGGCUACUAAAGGGAUGCAGUGUUCAUUAAAAGCGCAUGACCCCUGACCUCUACUGUGUUUCUGCGUGCAGAUGCUGAAUCAGGAAAAAUCUCUACAGAUGGAAGCUUGUCAGAUUUGUGUGGACAUUGUUGAACAAAGCUUCCUCUUUCGAGGCAUGUGAGUGUUCACCACUUUGGACUCCACUUGGAGAUUUUCCUAAAUUCCCAUUCCCCGUAGUUACUCCCUUGUUUGCAAGAGAAAACUUUGCAGCCAGCGGAGGGAGCUUUGUGAGCCAGUCAGGCUGUGAUAAGCUAUUUAAGAAGCCAUUUAUAUUUCAUUUCAAUCAGAGCAAAUCCACUCUAAUUAAAAACAAUUCAUUGUAAACUACUCAACCUUUACGGGCGACUUCCCAUUCCCAAUAAUCAGGUGAAGUCAUUAAUGAGCGACUGCUAGCGCUUAAUUUCCUUCCCCACAAAGUCCACUCUCUUUUUGCAUUUUUAUUUCCUUCAGUAAGAACGCGGCAAAAACGAUAAGAGAAGUUGCCGGAGAACAAAACCUUUAACACUUGGAGUAAUUACUUCUCUUUGUGUCUUUCUUUUAAAUUAAUUUUAAUUACAGGCGUCAGCGUUGCCUGUAAAUGUCCACUCUCUGCUAAUCUAAAGUAAUGUGACUGCUAAUGAAGAGGGAAUUGAAUGCGUGGAGCUGAGUGGCCUUUUGGCUGCAAGUCACUCCCCUGCUGGCUCGCUUACACAGUGGUCAAGGAUACGUGGGCAGGUGGAUGCACACACACACACACACACACACACACACACACACACACACACACACACACACACACACAGGAGCUUAAAACACUCUGGUUCCCACAUAAAAACACACUUUCUGUAUGAUUAGUGUUAAUAAGUUCAUACAGUCACGCAGAGAGUGAAUGUUAAUAAUUAACAAAGUAGUAAAUCCUCUCAGGAACAUUUGGCUUUGGUCAGCUCCAGCACAUGUUUUCAUUCGGAAAGCAACAUGUCUGAGCAGAGGCAUCGUGCUGACUCAGUUCAACCUUGAUGAUAAAUUCACUCAGAUACUUUUACUUGCCUUUUGGGCAGCUUCUGUGUGAUAAAAUCUACUUUCUACAACUUUUCAUUGAGGUUUAAUGAUUGACCAAAACCAAGACUGGGUGGUCCUGAUUUUCAUGCCAUCAGGCAGCACUGCAUUAAAAACAAACAGGAAAAAAUAAAAUAAAAUAAAAUAAAAUAAUAUAUAUAUAUAUAUAUAUAUAUAUAUAUAUAUAUAUAUAUAUAUAUAUAUAUAUAUAUAUAUAUAUAUAUAUAUUGUCAUAUGUGGAAUCUCAAUUGUUAUCUUUUUUUUUAUUCUUAAACUGCCAGUUUUAAAGCAUCUGUACUAAAAACUAAAGAAACUAGAGAUUACAUCAACAUUUUAUUAACAUACAAAGUAAAUAACUAAGCAAAUUGAAUAAGAUAAACUUAGAGAAUAUAAAAACUAUUUUAACUCAACAGUACAACAAAUGUAGAUGAAUACUAAAUAAUACAGUGAACUAGUUUACAGUCUUGAGUGUUUUUUUGCAGGUAUGCAAGACCCAAAAUUAAUAAAUCGCCCCCUCAGGGAUAGUGAAGACGCCUUAAAAUGUAAACAUUAAAUGAUGUAGAUGUAGGUGAUACAAUUGAUUGCUGCUUUGGUCUGGUAGCUGCAUCACUAGUUGUCGCUAAACUGCUAAUGCUACCUGUGCCUUCAGCAGUGGCAGGCUGUGCAGACUCUGCUCAUAUUUUCAUGCUUUCAGCAUAAUCACUCAGGAAGUAGUUCUUCAGAUAAUUAAACAGAUUUGUUGUGUUGCCAGUUUUUGAGGGCACUGAUGUACCUUGUACAUCGGCUUCAUUGCCCAACGUCACUUUGGACAUACCCAAACCACUGCUACACAACAAACGUUGGGUAACUUUUCUUCUCAACAAUGGCAUCUUUGGAAGAUGACUCAUAGUCAUGGCUGACAUCUUUUUGCUGCCCUCAGGUCUGCGUUUAGCUCCAUGUUCAGUCAUUUUGUUUACUUCUCCAGUAACUAACAGAAGUGAGCAGGAAAAGCUGGACUCUGAUUGGCUGUUGUGACGCACAUUUCCACUAUGUUUGAUCAAGUAAUAUGCUCACAGUUGAUCACUGUGAUCGAACUAAAAUUUGUCACGAUCAUUAAUCACAAUCAGAUAAUCACCCACUCCUACUUUUGAAGUGGAAAUUACUGCAUGGGCUCAAAAUCACUUCAAAAACCAUUAUCUGAACACAGUUCAUCACUGCAUCUACAAAUUCUGAGCUAUUACAUAAGGAACAUAUUUCAGCAAGACAAUGACAAACCACAUUAUGACAACAGGGAUUACAACAGCAUGGCUCUGUAGUAGAAGAGUCCCACUGAGAAACUGGACUGAUGCAGUCCUGACUUGUCCCCCAUUGAAAACAUUUGGAGCAUCAUGACACCAAAAAUAAGGGGCAAUCUAAGCUCUAUGAAGAAUGUUCAGCUGUAUUACUCUACUUAUGACUGAUUUUGAGGUUUUUUUUCAUGUCAGGCCAAAUUUUUUCUAACUCUGCAAGAGUAAAAUUCACCCCUAAAUCAGGUUCCCAUUGUGACUGUCUUUGAGUUUGGGUCUUGGGAGGAAAUAACCAGCAACUUCUAUAAACCUGAGACUGCUCCUCUGUUUGAUGACUAAAGUCUGAUCAUUUUGUGUCAAAAUUAUAAUCAAAAUAUUAUUUGGGAAAUUUAGAAACAAUUGACUUUAACUGGGAAUCCUGUAUAAAAACUCUUGUAUUCAAAUUAGGGCAGAAUCUCUCUGUCCCCUACAAUCGGAGAAACUUCUUUGACACUGUGAACACGAAAUUGUUAUUCUCCUUCACAAGCUGUUCCUCUAGCCAGUCCAAACUUUGCCUCUCCUCUCUUUAUCGCCACAAACCUGGCAUUAGAUGCACAAUUAUACAAAUAAACAUCAGAGAUUCUAAGACCCUCCUUGUCUCUUGGUGGGUAUCUUUUUUUGUUUGUUUUGUUGUUGUUUUUUUUGUUUUGUUUUUUGUUUGUUUGUUUGUUUUGUUCAAUUAAUUUAAGACCUUUUGUUGUUCACCAUAAAGACAGAGGCAGAGCAGACCAUCUUUUAAGGUCUCCCUUGUUAUGUUAUUCAAAAUAAAUUUUGCAUUUAAGUUGAAAAUUUCAUAGGUACUCUAAUUUUUAUUCCCCAAAUAUUUUAUAGCUUCUGAUCUUCUAACAAAUGGAGCAGAUCCAAGAUAUGUAAAAUGUGUAAGCAUGUUAAGAGGCAUGGAUUCACUUUAGUAACCAGAAAGGCCACCAAAUAAGUGAAUCAUUUAUAAAACUCUCAGUAUAGAGUGUGAGGGUUUGGACAAAGUCAACAAAAUGUCAUUUGCAUACAUAUUUAAUUUGAAUUCAGCAGCACCAAUCAAAAUUCCUGUAUUUUCUUUGUCUUGUUGGACAGCACAUGCCAACAGUUGUAAGGCUAAAAUAUUGAGUAAAGGGGAUAGGUGAAAACCUUGUCUGGUAGAACACCACAGUUGAAAGAGAGCUGAAAUCAUGCCAUUGCUCUUUAUUGCUGAGACAGGUUCCUGAAAUAGUGCUUUAAUCCACUGUAAGCACCUUGGACCAAAACUGUAUCUGGAGGACGUCUUCAACAGGUAUGACCACUCAAUUAGAUCCAAAGCUUUCUCAGCAUCCAGCGAUAAUGCUACCACUGGAAUAUAAAUCUGCUGGUAGGCAACUUUCCAACAACUACUAAGCCUGAAAAACACUGGACUUUUGUCAUUCCAACUACAGGUGCUAGUAGCUUCUCAAACUUAUGACGAUGAUAUGCAAAAAUAGAUUUAAUAACACCCAUAUUUCUGUACUGAGCUACUCAGUAACUGAAUGCAGUUAAAUUUUCAACAACUUUACCAAAACAAGACUGAGGAAAAUGCUUUAGUCCAAGGGAUGAGAAGGAGUACCAUCUCUCACCGUCAGUUCCUCUUCCAAAUUUAUCUGGAGUCUGACAGAAAUUUCCAAAGUCACAUUGAAUCAAUAUGUUCCCCAGCAUUUCAGCAUUGAAAAGCAAAGCUAUAAUCAGAUGGAUGAUGUCAAAGUAAGACCUUGAGAGGCAUGUUUUUAUUUCUAGUAGAUUGGAUUUCUGCAUUGGUCUGUUCACAGGACUGUAUAAACAAAUUGUUCUGCAACUACAACUUCUUCGAGAUGCUGCUGCAAGAGUCAGAAAUGAAAAAAAGAACAGGACUACACCUUUCCAGUUUUUAAGUGUCUGAAUGCAGACUAUGACAUUUCCUCUGUGAAAAGAUGUCUGUGGCUUCAAACAUCUCUUACCUUCUAGUGACAUGUGAACCUUUGAAGACCCUGAGAACCUCUGGGAUCAUCUAAAUUGUUCAAAUAACUGUUAGAAAAGCCCCAGACUCUGACCAUAUUUAAGCCUACACUAGAAAUUUGAAUACAAACCUUGAACCAAAUACUUAAACUUAAUCUGGUUACUUCAAACAAUUCACGUCCUAUUAGUACUCUCUGACAGCUUUAACUACAACAUUUAGGUGUAUUUUUUGUUGUUGUUGUUGUUGUUUUUUAAUCCUAGUCUUUACUAUAAUUAUUUUGUUGUUGUUUUUACAUUUCUGUCUUAUUGGGCUGAAUUAAGACCACAGGAAAAGCUUUAAAUAAAUGUAUUAUUUGGGGAUGUUAGGUGUCUACAACAAAGACCUGAGUGCUUCAAAUGAGGAAAAACAAACCUUUUAACGUAACAAGAAAAAUGUACUCCCUACUUAUCUUUGGUGUCAUCCAUUUUGUAUUCAUUUUUUCUUAUUUCAUUAAGCCUGAAAAGUGAUUCAGGUCUAUUCCUGGGUGAUCUUGGUGAAUCUAAUAAGACACUUUUUGACUUGAAGUAAGACAAAAACACUGGCUUAGAGUAAAAUUUUUUGAAGCAUUAAAAUGAAUUCAGAUUUUUUGUUGAUGAUUUAAAUUCAUAACUCACAUUUUUAACCUUACUUUAUUUUAUUUUGUUGAUCCUUUGUUUUAUCGCUCUGUUCAGGACUUUGAAUAACCUUGUUGUGUAAAAACCAACAACUUUUACAUGUAUGUUUUAUCACAGUCUUUCCAGCAUUUGUAUCUUUUGAUUUGUUCCAUCAAUAGUUACCAUAAAUACUACUGCACUAUGACUGACAAAUCCGAAUGAAGCUCUGUGGCUUCAACGCGUCAUAUAAGAAACAUUUCUGAGGUAAACGUUAAAAUAAAAAUGUUGGAAAUGAUAGAGAUGAACUCCAGUUUCAGAGUCAACAAACACAACACAAGUCAUCAAAGAGUGCAAGUUAAAUAUUGAGCUGAUCAUUGACUUAGUAAUUAUUUAAGUGCAUCUAAGGCAUCUUUUUUCCUCACAAAUUACUCCUCUUUAAACCAAAAUGUCAGACAAAAGAGAAGGUUCAAAGAAAUGUUUGGAUUAUUAUUAUUAUUAUUUUUUUGAAUAAAGCUCUUAAACUGGAAGGUUGGCAGAUUUAUGGCUACUAUUGUCACACUGAAAAAGAAACUGCAAAUAAUGUUAAACUACCACAACAUGCUCUAAAUAUCCUGUGCAAAGCUGAAUCUCCGAAGUUUAUCUACAGCGCGCAUUGCUAUUAAACUGAGAAGAACAGCAUGUUGUGCUCCAGGUUUUAAAUGCAAUAUGACCAAAUUUCCCUCUUGUAGCAAGACCAAGUUAAAUCUGUGCUUGAUUCUUCAGACAAAAAAGGCUGCCUCCGUCCGCUCCAGUCAACUUUGUAAAUUAAACUGAUUUCUGAUUCUGUGCAGAGCUGAAUGUAAAAGUUUAUUUGGUGGCUUUGAUUUUGUUUAACUUAACAAAGCAAGAACACUGAGUUUACUUUGGACUACAAAUGCUAUGUCACAACAUAUAAACCUAGAAAUGCAGAGCAACAUUUCCUAUUGUGGCAAAAAUAUUGAAUCAAUCUGUCCCUCCAUUUUUGUUGGCUCAUUUCUGUUAAAGCUUUGCAUUCUAUCAAAAGUUGCACGAAAAGGAGAGUAGAAAGAAUACCACAAGUGAUGCAUGUUUAUGGCAACAGUGACACUGCUGCAACUCUGGUGACAAAGAACCACACUCACAGUUGAUCACCACUCCAGUGUCAAUAUACAACCACCAUGUUUUACAUGGCGAGCUAUGAUUGGUUACUUGAAUCACUGCAAUGCAACACAGAGAGAAGAAAAUAGGUCAUUGCUCUACUUUCUGAACUGAGACUGGAGUGAGAAACGUGUCCAGGCCUCGCCACAAAUAUGAGAAUGUGAGAUGAAAGGUCAGUGAGAGUUUGUGAAGUGAAGAUUUCACCAGUAAAUGUGGAAGUCGUGGAACCAAAAACUGGGAUCUCAGACUCAAACUAAAGGUGCAGAGAAGAAGCAUGGGUAAAUGAACAAGAGCUGAAGAUUUACAUCUAAAUAUGGCGGCUAAUGGCCAUGAAAACUAAACCAUCUACAUGAAAAUAAAGUCACCGGUCACAAUGGUAGAGUAUCCCUCUCCUUUUCCCCAAAGCCCACAAACACUCAAGCAGAUUGCUUUAUGAUGCACGGUUUGGCAAACAACUUCAAGAACCAACUGUAAAAUCACAAAGGAGUUGAGGUUCAGAUUCAGAUUCAAAGGUUCACAUUUUUUUUGCAUGUGGAGGAAGUCCAAUUGUCAUUUUUAAUGCCAGAGAACUUGGAAAAUCAGAAUAAGUUGGCAUGUUUUGGAUAACUCUGUUCUCCUAUCACUGUUAGGAAAAAAAAAAUCUCCACUGAUUUCAAAUUCACACUUUCAUUCAUUGAAUUCUUGUGAAUACAGCAUAACUUUCAGCUCCAGCCAAAAUGGCCAAGGGAUGAUUUCAAAUGAUUGCGAUGUGGAUAACAACAAAACCAGAGUGAUUUAACUACCAGAGAGCCUCCAAAACAUCUGCGAGAUCAUAGCAUGUAAUCACUGCAGCCUGAGACAUUCGGGGACCUGUUUGAAUAACCAGAAUGACAGUUGGACACAAAAUUUAGAGCAAAUUCUGGUGAACACAACAGUCAAAACAUGGUGACUUAAGCAGUGUUCAGGUACUGAAACCACAGAAAUCAAGAGGAAGAGGACACAUGAUGAAGACACUGUGGGAAUAAUGAGACAGUAUAGUCUGAUGGUAGCAGGUGGAAUCUGAGGGCCUUCUCACUGAAUGAUUUCUCCAACAACAACAAGAGCGCGUUGAAGUGAUGAAGACGUCAAUGACACUCCUCAGUGUUGAAGAGUCCUCAACAUCCACUUAAUAACAAGUGUUUAUUGAGCUCAGAAGAGCUCCAACCAGUAGAAUAAAAGUGAUCUUCUACUGCAGCACCUGUUGACUGAAUGGAUUUUUUACACCUGCUGUAAUUCACAGAGGAAACUUUUGCACCUGUCUGUUUCCAGAUACACAACCUGCUCCCCAAAUAUGCUUGUUCUAUUUUACACCAGAGACAGACUGUCAGUGAGGGUCUGACACAUACAAGAUUUGAAAGAGGAUAGAAAGAAAAAGAAGAUUGUUAGAUGCAAAAUAGCGGCAUUUACAAGCAGAGAUUCAAAUCUGAAAAAUUAGGAUUCAAGACUAAAUAUAUCAGAUAACAAAUCUGCAGGAGAAGCGGCAGUCAGCUGCUGCACUCUGUUACCAACACACACACAUACACAUACACACACACACACACACACACACACACAUCCUGCGGCAACAACACGCUCGUACCUCCUUGGUGCUUCAACUCGCAGCAAUCCUCCCAUCCGCCAUUUUGUUAGAACACAGAAGAGGUACAAAAAUAUCCCAAAAUGUCUGCCACGCUACAUGAACUCAAGGAAAAGGAACCCAAAACAAACUCCACAUCUGAACAAAAACACAGACAUACAUCCACGUGUGUGAGCGAAUACAUCAAAAGGAUCCUUCCAGAUCAUUAUGACCUGCAGUGAACUCGCUCAAAGACUCGUCGUCUGCAGGAUCUGUGAGGUGAUUUUAUCAGGAGACUUGAUGAGCUUUGUGCAAACUCAUCCCUUGGGUUGUGGUGCCGAGGGUCCAUAAUAAUGUCAUCUCUCUCUCUCUCUCUCUCUCUCUCUCUGUCUUCAUCUUUUCAGAGAUUUGUGUGUGUGAUAGAGGCCUCAGUGAGAGACCAAGCGCUAACCUUUACUGCAUUGGCUCACACUUAAUCCCCUCACCCUGCGGUGACUGGUGUUGGCGCACGCACGCACGCACACACUUGUACUUCUUAAGACCCUGCCCAUGCAUACCCCCUCUGCUCCCCUCUCUUACAAUAAAAACACAGUCACACCCUUGCUGACUUAGGCCCGACUGUUUAUGAUCACUGAGAUGAUUUGUCACCAAAUCAAGUGUUUGAACAAGAGUAAUAAUAACUCCUGUGGUCCAGUCCAGAGGACUCUUUGUGGGUAUUUGCUUGAACCUGAUGAAUCUGACUCUAUAUGAAUUUCUUUGUCCAUUUACAUGAAUACAUUCUGCAAAGGAAUAUAAAUUCAAACAUCCAAUGGUGAACUGUAUCAGAGUGUAAUCUCAGAGUUUUCCAUAAUCUCAUCAGCAAUCUGCCUGAGUAAUCACAUUGGAUGAGACUCAGCCUUUUUAUGACCCUGCUUUUGACCCCUGGCCUUUUUAUCUUUGAUCUUCAGUGUUUCCCAAAGGUAGCUCUUCCCACAUGUAAUGUCUCAGUGUCAGGCCAUGUCUCUUUAACAAUAUAUCUUAAAUUCUCACACUUUGUGCGCUUGUGUGUGUGUGUCUUUGAGUGUGUGGGUCCAUGGGUGGGAGGGUUGGGUUUUAUUGUUGUUAAUUGUAGUUUUUAGCCUCUGUAAGGCAUUUUAAACUGCAUUUUUUGUUUGAAAGGUGCCAUAAAAAAUAAAGUUGAAUUUGUAUUUGUAUUUGAAAGGACCAAGCAUUGAUAUUCUCCAGCCUUUCAAGAAUCCAGCUGUGCCCCUAAAAACACCCAACUUAUAAGGACCCUAGCCUUAGUAGGACCCAGUUUAUUAAGAACCAAACUUUUGAAGGUCCUGACUUCUGAAGGACUUAGCCUUUAAAAGACCCAAUUUUUGAAGGAGACAGCUUACAAAGGACCCAGCUCUUCAAUGACUCAAACUUUAAAAGGCCCAUCUUAUGAAGUGUCCAGCUUAUGAAGGAGUCAGCCUAUGAAGGACCUUGGCUCUUGAAGAAGAACUUGGCUCUUGAAGGCAAUGGUUUCAACAGACCACGUUUUUGAAUGACCCAGCAUAUGUAGGAUCCAGCUUUUUAAGGUCCCACUUUGUAAAGGACCUUGCAUUGAAAGGACCCAGUCUUCCAAAGACUUGGCUUUUGAAGGACCAUACCUCUGAAAGACUCGGCUUCAAUCAACUGCACUGAAAGAUUAAGCCAAAUCAAAAUACAGCAGUCUGGUCGAUGAUGGAUUGUGGGCUGUUACUUCAUCAGCUGUUCCCACCAAUCACAAAGCACCAAACAACAUCACCAACAUCUGAAAGUUGUUUUUAGUCCCAGUGUGUCCCAGUCUCACAUGUCUAUUGGUGCAUUAUGAAGCAGUUUGAGGAUCCUCCACGGCCCAGGAAAAGUUGGACACAUUUGUUGGAGGAACCUUUGAAAUGGGAAAACCUUUGAAAUGUGGUCUCCCAUUGCAGCCUCUGAAUUGGUAUAAAGCUUCAGUAUCACACUGUUUCAGCCAGGUUUCCAGAAUACCUGUGAUCAACAUGACAGCAGACAUUCUGAACUGAUCAAACUGGUGACACCAUAUUAACUGCAGGCCUCUGAGUUUUACUGUUUUAUGUGAAGCUUAGACAGACGGACAAAUUUAGAUGAUAAAAAGGGCAGGUCAGACCAGUGUCAAAACCUCGCUGUUUUCAUCUAAACCAUGACAUAAAAAAUGACAAAAUGAAAACUCUGGGGCUUCAUAUUCUUUCUAAUACUUACGCUGCUUGAUGGACUGUUGUGUGAAAGUAAUAUCACACACGGGUCUGUAGCAUGAGGCUGCGCACUGAUAUUCAGAGCAUUCACAGCUUGACCUUGAGUGUAGUUUUUGCCUCGCACAGUUCGAUCAAACAAUUCAUGCUUAUGCUGUGAACCAUUUCUUGCAGCAUUUUCAUGUCUUGAAAAAGUGAGCGCUGCAUGGCAAAGUGGACGCAGAGACCUGAGAUUCUGCAGCCUAAAUAGAGCCCAAACUGGGGGUGUGUUUGCAUGUGAUUCUGAGAAUGAUGUACAUCUGGAGGCUGGUCAUAUCAAUGACUGAACUAGCUCCCAGACUUUGAACCUAGUUCAAGUGUGUUUUAAUAUAUUUUAUGGUUGACACAAUGUUUCUAAAAUUGACAAAACAAUGCUGUUAUAUGCAAAAAUCUUGAUUUAACUUGAGGUUCACUGUGUCUUUCUUAUUGUCGAUGGGCUUGUAUGAGUUACAUGCCACUGUUAGGGUAAUAGCUACAAUGCAUUUGAGUCAGUUCUGCCACUUUAGGGAGAAACUGCGGCAAGUUUUCUGCAAAGGGGGCCAAAGACAAAGUGUAUGCACUGCAGAGAAAUUUUUCAUAACUUGAUUUUGCCAUGGCAAAGCUUGUUUUUGCAGUUUUCACAAAUGUAACACACAUUGGUGUCUUUCUGCAUGCAGCAUGAUCAAAUAAGGAGAUCUUUGAUGUGUAACUCACUGAUAUGAUAUGACUGAUUGAUAAUGAGCUUUGCCCCAGAUUACCAAACUGUAGCAUAUUUUGCGUCUUGCUUCUGCCCUAAGUUUCUCAUUCUGGCUGAGCCAAUCCACUCGUAUCAUGUAACUCAAACAAGCCAACUCAAAAAGCAUGGAAUAUCCCUUUAAGAAACAACAGAUUCAUAAAACAGCAGUGAAGCAGCCCAAAUGAGCGUCUGUUGGACACAGAUUUAUCAAACAUGAGCUCAGGAGGUCCAGCAGGUACCAAUAAGAGCUGCAGGUGUUGGGCAGGUUGUGCACCAUGUGUUCAAACCUCUUCUGCAUUUACCCAUGCUCUGUUCACCACAAAUACAGAGCUGAUUGGAGAGUGAGCAUACGGUUAAAGCGCAGACACAGCGAGUUUUUGCCAGACUGAAGAAGUUUCUGAUGGUUUCAUGAGUUCUGUUUGAUUUUAUAUCCUCAUUAACCAGUCAAUGUGUUAAUUCAACAAUGCACCCUACUGACGUCUCACCAUUUUUUCUUCAUGUGGAACUCAUCAAACAGGGUGACAUGUCCUUGUUUUCAACCUUUGGCACCAUGCUUUAUGGUACGUCCUGCUACAAACCAACAAACAUCCUCAAACAGAAGCUUUAGCUGUCAGAACCGAACCAAACACACGCGCACUCCUGCACACACACACACACACACACACACACACACACACACACACACACACACACACACACACACACACACACACACACACACACACACACAAACACAAAUCUCAGAGGGUAGCAGUGAUGACAUUGUCUCUUACUAAGCAACAAUGCUAGCCACUGCUGGAAGCUCAGACAUGAAAAUACACACACUGGCUCAUACACUCACAUGUGCACACACAAACACCCCCAAAACUGAUACACAAAUACACAACUGCACACACGCACGCACACACACACACACACACACACACACACACACACACACACUCCUUGAUAUCCUCUAUAGGAGGGUGGGUUUAGCGGGUAGGGAGCCAGACCCCUCUGUGGAGCUUUGGAUUAUGGGAUAGCAGCGUGAUGCAAGGAAAAGAAGAAAGGAGGGAGGUGUGAGGGGCGAAGGGAGGAAGGAGUCGUUGGUGGAAAAGGAAGGAAAUUGAGGGAAUGAAAGCAGGUGACAAGGACGAGGAGAGACAAAAGGAAAGCUUUAGGGUGAAGGAGGGAAGUGGAGAAAAUACAGAAAACAAGGAAAGAAAUUAAAGAUGAAAGAAGAAUGCAUGAGAAUACUGAAAAGGAGAGGAUGAGAAGAACAAACUGAAGUUAAUGGAGGGAGGAAAGGUAGGGUGCGGAGGGAGAAAGAGAGAAAGAGAGGAAUAAACUGAAAUUGACUUACAUGUGCUGUUUUCCUUUUCUUCACUUCAGAAGCUGGUGAUUCAAAGAUGGAGGAGCUGCAGGGUAAGGAGAAAGGAGGAGAGAGGAGUCAGCUAGGGUCACUCCUAUUUCAGGGCAGACAUUUCCAGGAAAAAAGUCGAGUGAAAUGUGUGCUGAAUAAUUUAAGUAUUUAUUUAUCUGACCUGGUUUCAUUUCUUAAAGAAGAAGAAAAAAGAUAAAAACAGAAAGUAGUAGGUCUGCAGCUUCACAGAGAAACCUGAUUUUCUGUGACAAAAAUGAUGAUUCAAGAUUUUAAAGGUUUGAAUAUUUGAGGAUGAGGAGGAGCUCUAAGGAAAUAAAACAACAACAAAAAAAACAAUUAUUUAAAAGGAGUGCAAGCUCCACAAUGUGACGUAUGCUGAGAGGCCUCACAUUUACACACUCAUACACACACACACACACACACACACACACACACACACACACACACACACACACACACACACACACACGCACACACACGUACACACACACAUGGUUCAUAGAUAAACAGUCACUGUUUAUUGCUGUAACAUCCCACCAUCUCUGCACAGUUUGCAAAUGUGCACUUAAACUAUGCAUGAGCAUGAUAUGACACUGUGUGUGUGUGAGUGAGGGAGAGAGAGAGAAAGAGAGAGAGAGAGAGUGUGUGUGUGUGUGUGUGUGUGUGUGUGUGUGUGUACGCAUGUUCGUUUGCAUUUCUGUGGUAUAGUCGAGCAGACACAGUCCUGCCACCAAUAGCUCUCUAGCGCCAUCUACUGAUCUAGAGACCAAGGGAAAGCGAGUGGAAACUUCUACAGCAGCACUAAAACUUACCAGAUACACCAGUUGGUGAAAAUGUGGCAAACUUACAAUUUUUAUCGUCAGGCAAGAAGGUUGAAAAAGAGACAUAAUAUGUCUUUAAAAAACAAUGCACAUAAAUGUUUGUGCCUGUACAAAGUAUGUAUGAUUUCAGCCUGAGGAAUUACAGAACAGAAACUAAAGAUGUGGAGAGAAGAGGAAUAAAAACAGCUGAAAUGAAGAAAAUGAGGCAAAAAAGAAAAGAGUCGAAACUUAAAUGAAACACAGAGAGGAUAAGCUGUUUUCUGAUUGAAUGCAUCUUUAAAAUUAAAGUGUAGACGAGUCAAAAACCCACAUUUUCUCAAGUGAAAGUGUGUUCAGUUAAAAAAAAAAAUGCAUAUCAAACUGAAACUUCAGUGUAAAAAAACAAAACAAAUUGUUAAUCCAAAGAGAGGUGAGCUUUAAUUUCUCUCAUAUCAUAAACAUUAAAUAGCAAAAAAAGCAGAAAAUAAUUUUGCUGUGUACUAUUUGGACAAUAUUUCACAUCAAAGUCUCGGAAUCUGCCUUUUGUGAUGGCUGUGUCUGGUAGCUUAACCUUACAUUCAACACUCACUGUAAACAUGUCAAUGUUUUAUCCUAAUCUUCAGUUAAGGAGUAACUAUGUCUGGUAGCGUUACCUUACAUACAUGAAGGAAACAAAAACAUGAAAAUUAUAUAUAUAUAUUUUUAAUAUUUAGUCUCUGCACAGUUUAGUCAUAUCUUGAAUAUUUGCAGUUUACACAAAAACUCACUCAACUCACUGUACAUGUGAGAGUUUAUCAUUUCAAUUGAUAAAAAUCCUCUUUCCAUCUUAAUAUCACAGUGUCAAAGUGUCAGAAAUCCACACUUACGUCUAUGCACAUAAAAAAAUACAAAUAAAUGAAAACAGGAAGAAAAUGCAUGAAUUACACUACGUCACUGCACGUACAAGUCAUAUGAAUAAUAAUUCUUAUUCUUAUGACAGUAUGAAAUUAUAAAAUCUGACUCACUGUAAGUAUGUUAGGAUCAUUUCAUCUCUCUCUCCAUUGUCACGUUUUUUUCGUUGAUGUAACAGUGUGAAAAUGACAGAAACCCACACUUUGAAUGGGACCAUCUUAUGCUGCACCUUAUUUCAUAUGCAUGUAUGAAAACAAAAUUUUCAGUAAAGAAAUGCAAAGCAUGAAAAAUUGUUGUAAAAUGCAUCCAGCUGAAAGUACGCUGUCAUUAAUUGAAAAAAAAAAAAACUUUUGUCAAGCAUAAACUUACAAGCAAAACUCUGCAUAAGAAAUGUAAAUGCACCACAGAACAAUGGCUGUGUAGUUUGUUUUACUGCACAGUGUGUGCACUUUUCAGUCAUAAUGUGACUAAUCAGAAGCUCCCACACAUCUACACAAAAUGACUAAUUGAAAAUACACUUUAAUAUAUUAUUCAAAACUGUAUCUAUAUAUGCAAACAUUUUUUCUUGUAGACACAGCAGUGUUAAUGUGUCAGAAAUGUGAUGCUGCUAUUGUAUUUCAUGGUACAAACUUAGAUGCUUUUGUAGGAAAGUAAAAGCUUAUAAAUUAAAAAAAAAAUGUAAAUAAAAAUAAAAUAAAAUAAACGACUGCAUGGCCAAAAUCUCUCUGAAAUCCCUCCAAUUAUUUUUUUGGGCUGCAGAGUGAUUGCACAAACAAGCUGCCUCAUGAUGAUGAUACAGUUCACAUUAACACAGCAAGAAGGAUUUAUUCUUUUUAUUUGAGUGUAUUUAAAGUACAUACAUUUCUGUAUGCAUGUUAAUAUUUUUUCAUGUCAAUAUUGAUGGUGCAAAAGUGUCAAAAAUGCAUUAUGUGAUGUUGGAACAGUGACCAAGCACAGAUUUUCAUGCAUUUACAAAUAAAACAUUUGAAAUGCACUGGAGGGGAUGUGCAGCAUCAUUUUUUCCACGCACUGUCUGCACAUUUCAGUUAAACAAUGAAUGAUGUUUAGUUUACAUAAAAGCUGUGUAAAAAAAAAAAAGAAAUGAGGUCCACUGUAAAUGUCUUUGUAUUAAACAGGUGAAACUCUAUUUAUUUCAUUUACUUCAGGAAAAUUAUGAAAUUGAACAAGACAUAUUUGUGUCUUUAUUCAGAACAAAAACUUUAAUUUGUUUUCUUAUGUAUAAAUGUAACAUUUCCACUCAGGCAUAAAGUUCUUCUUAUCUUAUCUUAGAGAACAGCUGUGAAUCCUGCAUGUGCAAGAAAGAAAGGUGACAUUUCAUUUGUUUAAUGUAGAGCUCAUCUGAUCACCAUAUGCACUGUGUUAGAGUACAUGGUGUGCAUUCAAAUUUAUCAAAUUUUGCAUUUCUAACAUAUUUUAAUAUAUUUUAUUUUUUAAUUGUAUUUUUCUUUGGCAACAUUUUCAUCACAGAAUACCAUGCCAGUACAGCCAAUGAAGCCAUCGGAGCUGAAGACACUGAACUGGAUUCACCAAAACAUCAAAAUUCUCUUUUUGCCAGAACGGCAGCAGCGAAUUUAACCAAGUUACACAGAACGUAAACACAUCAUCAGCUGAAGCAUCUACAGUCUGAUAUUUAUCAGUCAGACACUUUUGCAGACAUACAGAGUUGUGUCCGAGACUGCACUGGGGAAAGAAUGAAAAUGUCUGAUGAUUUGCGAACACUCACUCAUGCACACACACACACACACACACACUUAUUCAAUACUUCAGUUUGAGAAAUUCAGAAUUAGCGGAGCAUGUGAGGUAACAGUGCAGUGAAGACAGCAUGCGCACGGCUGCUCAUAAGGGUGGGUUUGAUUUCUGUCCUAACCUGCAAAAUACUUUCCCUCAGGAUUAUCCUCUACCCCUAUUUUCAUACCUCAUGUUAUUGUGCUGUACUGGCAUAUUAUUCUGGGCCUUGUCUCCACCUCUGUACCAAAUUGAGUCCUGUCUCUUUGUCGUGUUUGAGGAUCAGGACUCUAUCCCUCCUUAGCUCUCUCUUCUCCGUCUUUUAAAUGCACUUUCAAAUUAUCUCCAGGGUCUGAGGACAGUGUCAUCUGUUGUGCAGAUUGUAAAGCCCUCAGCGACAAUUUUUAAUUUUUGGCUGUAAAAAUAAAACUGACUUAACUCUAUCUCACAGUCAUAAUUAUUAUAGCUGCGAGGUGCAGAGCGUGGACCGGGCCCCAGACUCAUUUAGUCUUGGAGAGGGCAAAAUAUAAACUAAAUAUUCUGAUUUAAAUUAGAUUAAACAGGAAUAUUUAGUUGGCAUUUUCUUAUCUCUAAACUUCAUGAGGCUAAAACCCUGCAGAGCCUCUCUGGCAGCAAACACGAUAAAAAUGACUUGAUUUCUUUAAAACUAUUUGAGGGUGUGGAAAUGUGUUGACAGCUCAUUUUUUAGCAUUAUUGUUUGUUUUGUUUUCAUUAAGGAGUCUGUUAUUUUGGGAUGCAUUAUGAUGGCAAAUGAAAAUAAUAAGAGUCCUGAUCCUCAGACCCUGAGCAGCACUUCUAAUGAUGCAUAGUGAAGUACAAAGUUUUAAUGAGUUCAGCAGCUUUAAUCGGACUCUGCUUCAGGCUGCAGAGUAAAAGAGAGCGCUACCUCAAAAUUCAUGCUUCCUCUUUAAAUUUCCUCCAUGCAUCUCAAUGUUUGAGCAGAUUUAAAGCAUUGCAAAGACUUCAAAAUGAGCAUUGUAAAUCUCAAACAUGAUCUUAUUCUUAAAUCUCCCGCAGGAGAUUUCAAUUAGACUCAAGAGCUGAAGAUCGAGGAGUAAAUACUCAGCUGUUUGUGUGGUAAACUAAUGAAUCCCAGGGUAAGCAGAUGGAUUUUCUUUCUCUUUUUUUUUAAUCAGAGAAGGAAAAAUAAUGAGCAUUCGUAAACUAACUGUAAAAUUACAAAAUUAGUGCCAGAGAUAAGAAUAAAAAUGUUGUAGAUGCAUUUGAAAGCAUUCAACAGCCAACUACAUCCAUGUGAGAUGAUGACCAGUUUGAAUUUGUGUAAAUCCUGUUUUUCUGCAGUGAGAUGAGAUGAAGAGGAGUCUCAUUAAAGGUGAGAGGAAGUUCUCUGAUGAGGAUCAGCCGGAGUGAACUGGAGAUUUAACCUUGUCAGACAAAACUAUCACACAUGCCUUUAUAGUUUUUUCUCAAUUGCUCAAACACAUUUCUUGACACCCACCAUGCUUUUCUCAACAUUAUGAGCACAAAACAGGAUUUUCAAACUACAUUUACCAACCUCUGACUCUGUCUGCUAAACCAAACAAUGUAGUCAGAUCAUACUCCAAGUCAAUCUAAACUAAAAACACUACUGAGCAGUCAUUACACAGGACACAAUGCUUAGGACAUGAAGGUGUAGAUACGAUUGUUCACAGUAGGCUAAAGGAAUUUUGAAAAAAAAUAAUAAUAAUUAUAUUAAUCCUCUGUGAAUUUAGUAACUGUACACAGUAUGAAUGGAGUAAAACAAUUGAGAAGCACAAUUAAAGUGUAAACCACAUGAUCAAAAUUGGAUGUUUACAGUUUCUACAAUCGUUCAGCCACAUCAUCAUAUCUUUCUCCUGGAUCAGGCCAUAGGAGUCCAUCCACAUCACAGACCACCUUCUCCAUGGCGGGGUCACGUGGAAAAACCCUCUGAAGUGGCUCAUCUUGGUUUUCUCAUAUCAUUAGCCAAAACUGUGAUCAACUUUGAGUUAUGUUUAAGCUGUGACACUUGUACUUCAACUGUGUUUAACUUUUCCUACCUGUGCUUACCAUUAUGUAACACAAGUGUAUCACUGUGUUUUAGUGAGUGAGAAUGUGUUUUUUAAAAUCGUGUCUAACCAGGAGAAAAGUGCUUAUGGUUUUACCAAGAGAGUGACGGAUUCAAUCAGUGGGUUCAGGCCACCGAACCUUUGGUCCAGACAAUAGGGUUUAGUGUUUGGGCAACUGAGGAAUACUGUAAAUACUCAGCUGAAUUUUCUGUCUGUAUACAUCUUCUGUUAAUCUCACAUCUGAGUGCCUCCUUCUCAUAAACAAACAUUCAGGUUUGAUGCUCUUCAUUUUACAACUCAUACACGAGAUAAAAAUCUGCUAAUUCUACUCUUUUCAACCACCGGGAGUGUCUGAACCACGACUCUAAAUAAAAGGCUAUUACUUUCCGGAUGCACUGUAUAUAUAUGUAUCCAUCCUUUGGUCAAUAACUGCAGACCACAUGAGUGUGCAUUCCUAAACAUAACAGAAUUUACAGCAUUCACCCGUAAAAAGUGCUUCCAAACCUCAAACAUGCCUCUUUUCUUCUCCCUUUAUUUCCAGCCUGAUAUUUCAGUUUGAUGCACUCGCUUCUGCAGGAAUUUGUGAUUAGUUUUAUUUAUUCUAAAUACAAUAACACACAUUUAUUUAAGGAACAAAAUAAUCUGUAGGUUUGAAAAUUAUAGUCAUAGUCCUGCUGCACCAGCAUGAUGUUAAAACAAAGAAUUAGAAACUGAGAUCUGGCAUCUCACACCUCCUCCCUCAACUCCCGCUUCUGCACCCCGUCUGCUCUUUCUGUUCCCUACCAAGGCCCUCCAGUUGGCAGGUGACAGCUGGCUGGAUAGGCCCCUUAGCUGGCUCCUGGAUGUCCUGGGAGGAGGGGAUGUUGCAGUGAGGUGAUGGGAAGAAUCGAGGAAGAUUCCCCCAGCUCCCCUCACCCCAACCCCGCCUAAUGGUGUGAAGCGAGCCCCUUCACUCCCGCCGCUCUACAAGCAUCAAAAGUGAGGACAGAAAGGCAGUGAGGAGCCUGUUCUCAGUUCCACUCUACUACACAGGUGCAGGGUGUGAGCCCACAAAGUUUACAAUGAGCACACACACACACACACACACACACACACACACACACACACACACACACACACACACACACACACACACACACACACACACACACACACACACGACUGCCACCUCUUGACAAGAACACAGUAGAUGCUCGGCAUGAGUUUUAACUCCUCUGAGGGAAACACGUUGCACUGCAGAGGUUACGUGUUUGAUGCAACUAAGAGUGUGUUUGCAGUGUUGUGCAUGUGUGUGUGUGUUUUCUGUAUGAGUGUAUGGGUCCCUUGGAGCAGGACAAGUUUGUGAUGACAGAAGUUUAAUCCCUGCGGUUUUUCUGGGUUUGAGUUUAAACAAGUCGAAGCAGACUCGACCCCCUCUUACAAGUCUUUACUGGAGUGGAACUGCUGUCAAAUAAAACUCUGUCCCCAAAACACACACACACACACACACACACACACACACACACACACACACACACACACACACACACACACACACACAGAGGAAGGAAGCCUGUGGCGGCGUCCCCUCCUGCUGGGAGAACUUUCUGUGGGUGAAUGCAAGGCUUAGAGCGGCGUCAGGCCGAAGGCGGCGCUGAUAUUGGCCUUUGAUAAAAAAUCAGUUUGGUCCAGCCGCUGUGGUCCGGCUCUGAUAUGAUGAAGGUUCCUGCCUGACCACAGAUAUUCAUUUCUUUCUUAUUAUUUUUAUAUCAGAUGUCAGAGCAAAAUGAAAUCCAGUGUGUGUGUGUGUGUGUGUGUGUGUGCGAGUGCAAGAGGGUUCAACACUGCUCCGCAGAUGGAUCUGCAGCACGCCACUCGUAUGUUCUUCACGCCAACCCUUUCUAAUUUAGAGACAUAUUUAGAGUGGAUGAGACUUCAAUGUGAUUCAUGUCUGAUGACGAAAAACAGUGAUGAAGAGAAGUGCAGAGAGAAAGAAAGUGUGUGUGUGCAGAGUUUUGGGGCAAUGGAAACUGUGAAACACAUUCAGCUUUUGUGUAGCAAACCAGCUAUUGUUCUUAAGUAUACAGUUUUGCAAAGUAUGACGUUCGUUUACAUGAGUUUAUUGUGAAUAAAAUAUUAGAAUUGUUUUUAGGUCUGAUAUUACUACAAGUCCUCACUCCAGAAGCUGCCAUGUUGCACAGCCAGGUUUGAAUGAAUUUGUAUAAAUCAAAAUUUUUAUCCCAAAAACUUGACAAAUCAGACCAAUCAUCAAUCACAGGAACGUGAAUCAGAGUUGACAUCUCAAAAAUGAGACCAGGACAGGUGAGGGCAGAAAAUCUGGGUUAACAUGAGUGUUUCCUUUGUCAAGGAAAAUCCUAAAGACAGAUUCCUGUUUGAAGAACGGCUCUGAAGUGAUCAGUUUUCUGCUGGACAGUAAGACACAGUUUAUUCUCUCAAAGGUUCAUUAGUUUACAGAGAAAUUAAGCUGAAUGAUCUCAGAGCUGCAGUCAGAGAUCCUGCUGAUGUUUCCUCGGAACGGUCAGAGUUAACUAUGAGGGGACGUCCUGACUCAUCAUCAAAUCUCAUCAUUUAUGUCUUUACUCCAUUGAGAGAAACCCCACUCACUGUGCUUGAACUAACUACAGUAAUCAGAGUGAACCGACGAGCAGCUGUGUUAAAGUCAUGGUCUACCAUUUGGAAGCUUGGUACUUAUUAAUAACAUCGUUUAUAAGGCCGUUAUGGUCCUAUGGUAUGAUCUACGCAAUAUAAAGAUCAAAAUGAACGUAAAAAAUCCAUUCAGGAUAUCCGCUGCAAAAAGGCAUAAUAAUUGACCAAUCUGAACUGCCGUACCCCGGUGGUUUGGAGUGGUCCGUGAGUCCAUCCAAUCCCCUGUCUCCCCUGCUCCGCACCGUCCCGCCCAUGGUCCCGCCUCCUUCCCACUACCCCCCUCACGUAUAUGAUUUGCGAGCUGCACAGCUGCUAAAGCGUAAUAAAGCCGGAAAAGACAAACACUGAAACCAGGAGGCUGCUUCUGUUACCCUCCACGUCGGAGGGGAGGAAACAUAAAAGUUUUGAGGAAAAGGCUGAAGUAAGGAAGAAAUAUGAGCGAUACAGGUGCCAACCGAGAGUCUACAUUGGAGAAGCGUAUGACCGGCGUUGUGCUGUAGAAUGCACCCCUGCCGUAGAAUGCAUCCCUUCAUCCCAUCCACUCAUUAGCUUUUUAAAGUGGAGGCAAAUUAUCUCAUUUUAAAAAAAGAAAACACAAGUAUUGGAUCAUGACAGCAUGUCAAAUGGAGCACCAAACUUUCGUUCUGUUUUUAUGUAGCUCAAAAAUGCACAUAUAGAGGUGUACUUGGGUGUAUACUGUACAGUAAACUGUCAAUUUAGAGAACAUUAUAAUUUUGGGACAGCAAAUAUUCCGAAUCAGAGGGCUAUUUUUUCGGCUUAUCUGAAUAGCCUGAAUGAAAUCAUUAAAGGCACAUGCUUUUGAAUCCAUCCAACGGUAAGGAAAACUUGGAUUCAUUCGCCUUGUUAUGUACUUUCAACCGCGCUCGCAUCAGGGGGUGCAUUCUACAGCAAGGGUGCAUUCUACAGCACAACACCUGUGGAAAAAGCUGCAGAAGGAUUUGGGACUGAAAAUUGACGCUGAGACAUCCGAAUUUCUGUUGAACAGGUAAUUACUUAGUUUACUACAGUGGAAGAUGUCUGCUGAAUAACUCUGGUUAGUCUGUGCCUAUACUGGCCUAAUGAGUGAACGUUGUUGGUCGGAACGGGUAGGCUCUGUCAAUAGAUUUUAACAUAAGUUAGCCACGCAUCUUUAGCAUUGUAAACUGAGCUGGUGAAGACACGCCGAGAAAGGUAAAGCCUCGCCCACAAUCGGCUCUGCUCUGACCUGAAAAAGCCUGAGUACAUCCCUGCAUCUCAGGUUUACAGCAAUACCUGGUUAACAACGCAAAGAGAAAGGAUGUGGGAAAAUAUGCAAGGUAAAAAACAAAACAAAAAAAAACCCUGAGUCUGAAGAAUCAUGUCUCAUCUCGAAGAAAUGGUUGAUGACACUAUAGACGGAGAUAUUACUGCUCCUCAACAUUUUCGUUUAAAGAGGAUAUUCAGACAUCAUCCCUGGAUCAUUAUGAAUACAUUUAUAUCUACUUACAAGUUUUAUCACCUCCCAGUCUCUCUAUAAAGGUCUUUACGUGCAAAAUAAAAAAAAACAUAUGUAAAAAGUGUGAUUACAUUUCAAAAAGAUGACGCAAUUUAAUGCAACCUUGUCCUUGACUCCCUUUGUGCUUUUAAGCUGCAGAGAUUCAUUUCCUGGUGAAAAUAAGAUCAAAUCAACUAUUUUUUCAGGGCACAUUCUGCCUUAUUUUGUCUUAUUUGGUGUGUCUUGGUAUGUUUCAGAAAUCAGUUUCUCAUUUUAGGAAAAAAAAAAGAGUUUCAGCAGAGAAACAAGUGUUUCCAUUAGCCGGUGAAAGGCUGACUGUAGUGCUGAUAUGAGAGCAGCUGGAGACAACAAUAAAAUCCCAAACAGGAACAAGAUACUGACCCGCUAUAACAAAGGAACACACACAUUUGUGCUCACACACACAUACACAGAGCAGAAGUGUGUGUGUCAGGCUGCAGCUGGACCUUUGGCCUGCUGUGGUUGUGAUAAUACUGCCCCCUAGAGGCAGACACAAACUGGAUUUUCACACAUUUAUGAAGGCCAUUGAAGGUUCACUAGACUCAGUAUGUGAGAUAAAUUAACCGUGAUAAUGCAGGGUGAUGAUUGGAAAAAUAAAUGUCUUUGUAAUGAAGUGACAGACACACCUGAUAUUUUUAAAUGUCGAAGAAGUUUGGAGAGCACUCAGAUUUUUAGUCAUAUUAAGUGUCCCCCCCUUAUUUAAUUUUUUUUUUAAUUGUUAUUAUUAUUAUUUUUAAAUUAGACCUCACUUAAAGUUUUACUGUUGAGGAGCCACUUACAGGUUAUUAUUUUGACAUUGAAAGAGUUAAUCAUGGAUUUCCAUCUUUCAUGAUUUCAAUAUGGCACAAAUUUAGGGCGACAAAGUGCCUGUUUGUGUGUGUGUGUGUGUGUGUGCAAUAAACAAAAACAGAGGGUUGACUGCAGUGACUAAACAGUGCAUUUACUGACUUUGUUGAUAAGUCCCUGGUUUUCCUAAACCAACUGGUCUCACUGCAGAUCUUGGUAUUUUUCUGAAAUUGGAGGGGGGUAACACCCUUAUAAACUGUAUAUGGUUAAAAAUGUUCUCUACUAAUUAUUUGUUUUUUUUUUUUCUGUAGGAGUCAGAGAAAUUAGUUUGCAUUGUUGCGGAGAAAGACACUACCUUUUUUACAAUCAUAAGACGAAAGUGUGGUGGCCCUGAGGGGCAACAGGGAAAUAUUAAAUGACAGCGAGGAAAACAUUUUAAAUCUGCUGCAAAACAUGUCGUCAGCAACAUAUUUUGUGAAUAUGCUGCAAAAAACAUUGAAGUCACUGCAUAUGUCUUUGAUGUGUAACAAACAUUUAUCUAUUAUUUAUAUAUAUAUAUAUAUAUAUAUAUAUAUAUAUAUAUAUAUAUAUAUUUUUUUUUUUUUUUUUUUUUUUUUGCUGCAAAUUAUAACAAAUUCCAGCUGCUGCAUGUUCUUUCACCUGUUAUUGAAAAUAUUUCAGACACCGGAAAGGGUGGGAUGUUGAAUUCUCUUUUUGUCACUGCCCAACAUAUUUAUUAAUAGUCUUGCAUCAUGUCAUGGACCACAGCGGCUGGACCAAACUUAGCACAAUGCAGUCAUACUUAGAAGAGCUUCGACUAAGAAGAUGGGGUUUAGUCAUCAGCAAGUUAUUGGUGGUAACCUAAGAGACUAGGAACUGAAAUGUUUUUUGCAUCACAUAACACACACACACACACACACACACAUCUAUCUAUCUAUCUAUCUAUCUAUCUAUCUAUCUAUCUAUCUAUCUAUCUAUCUAUCUAUCUAUCUAUAUAUAUAUAUAUAUAUAUAUAUAUAUAUAAUGUAGCAAGUUGAGUUUUUUUGUGCAGCAGGUGGAAAACAAUAUGGACCCUUUUUGCAGCAGCAUAUGUUGCUACUUGCACUGACUUUGCAGCAUAUUGUUUCAGGGUGUCCAAGCUUCAGUGAAGUGAACCCACACUCCAGCUGAAGCAGCUCAUAAACACUUCAGCUCAAUAAUGAUUAUUUCUGCUCAAUGCAGAAUGUCCUAACUCUCACCUGACCCCUGUCCCUUCAGCCUGUGACUCUAUAGAUGUAGAUAGAUAGACCAGCUCCUGAGUGACCGAGACAUAAUGGACUCAUGCAGCAAGGGUGAUUUGAUCCUAUAAUCAACAUGACUCCUCCUCCUCCUCCUCUUCCCCGUCUGUGCCUGAGCUCGCUGUAAUGACUUCUCUUAAUUUCUCAGGGGAGGAACAGUAAUAAGUGAUCAUUGACAAAAGGAUUUCUACGAAGAUGUUCACAUUAUCUCUGCCUGGCUCACCACAUUUGUCUGUCCCAUUGUCGGUCUGUCUUUGUCUGUAUGAGACAGAAACCUGUGUAUAUAUUCAUGUUUUUAUUGAUAUUUGCAAAAAAAAAAAAAUUAAGAAGGCAGAAAACAGCAAAACAUACCAAAAAACAUGCAAAAAAAUAUCAAAAUGUGAGAAUGAGAUUUGUAUGGUGACCUUUUAACUGAGUUUAGAGGUCAGCUUCAGACCUACAGGGUGAUUUUUCAUAACCCACAAUAAACACACAAAAAAAAUAGAUACUUCAUUUUCAAUGUGCUGAAGACACGUCUGUUACAUUUUAGUUUCUGCAGCAAAUAUUCAUACUAAAAAAAAAAAUCCAGUAUUCUAUCAUGCACAUGAGUAUAUAAGAGCUCUGGUCGUUUGUUGUAGAGCUCAGACAUUGAGAUAUGGCUGCAGAUAGGACCAUCUUUGCUGUGCUAAAUGGCUUAUUUGAAGCAGAAAUCCUCUACCUAAAAAUCUUCAGCGUGAUUGUAACCUACAGUAAAUGUUGGAGCUACAUUUUUGUUUGUAAUUGGUAAAUUGAGUUUUUGUCAACUUUGUUGUUAUAUUGUUUUUAUAACUACUGCCAUUUCCUGCUAAGUUUAACUUGAUUUUGAAGUGGCUUUAGUAAUACAGUAAUUAUAGUUAUUCAUAUUUGUGUUCUGGAGCUUAAUCUUGCUGCCUGAAAGCCAUUUCAUUUUUAAUAUGACUUUUUUCUCAAAAAAUUGUCCAAUUAGGUUUAAUCAUUUACCUGUCAAGCCAAAAAAUGAGUUAUAAACUCCAGAGAUACAAACUUAAUUUAUUCUUAAUAUAUUGAUAAUUAAUAUUAAUUUUUUUGUAUUGUGACUUUAUAUUAGUUACAUUUAUGAAAAAUCAAAAGUAUGUCAGUAAAACAGGACAAAAAAAAUCUUGCCAAAAUCUUGCCAAAUGAUGAUCACAACUAUGAUCCACGCUUCAAAUAAGUACAAACAAAACACUUGGUGUUAACGAAGAUAUAUUACAAAUAUUUCCUCCGUUAAUGUGGUAAAGCGUCCGCUGUCACCACUCGUACUGAUCGCAGUCAGCGUGAAUGAAAUCAAACCGCAGAUCGCAGCUAUCCAUUUCAGCGGACUAAGGGACUUUAUACUCCUCAUUGUUCUCAUCACUGAUCGAUGGAUUUGGGAUAUUUUGCAAAUAAAGGGCCAUAAACACAGUAAGAAACAGACAAAAUGGUCAUAGAGAUGCUUUAAUAAUACAUGGCACGGAGGCAGAAUCACUGCAGUCUCUGUCCGUGUUAACCUGUGACUGAAUGCAGAUGUCAGCGGUGUGUCAGGUGUGCUGGUCCUUUUACUCACUCACUUACAAGCAUGGAGACGUGGACUCUCCACAUUUGAUCUUCAGUGGACUAAAAAUAUUCUAAUUUCUAAGUCAUCUGCAGGCUUCUGUUGCACAAUGUAUUCAAGUAUCCCAUCUCAAUGACUGAGAAUAUGUUUAUUCUUAUUUGUUGAGGAGCACCUGUACUGUAUGCUGUUAGCUUGCUUCUGUGCAGCUCACAGCUCGAACACUGCAGCAGUAUGCCUCAAUGUUGAAUUUUGUGUAUGUUGUAUUUUAUUCAGGGGUACAGUAUCUGAAACGGUAAGGUAAUAAAACAGCAGAGGGGAUAAGAGUGUGCAACUUUCUUUAUUGUUCUUGUUCAAAUGAUCCUUAGUCGGCACUUUGUCAAACUUGGGUGUGCUCCUCUUGUACAAAGCCUACAGGUACAGUAAGAACCUCAUCCAACGUUCACCCCUGUAUUAGAGUACGGGUUGUCACGGGUUAGUUAGAUAAAAUGUGUAGAGUCCACAUCUCCAUGCUGUAAGUGAGUGAGUAAAAGGACCAGCACACCUGACACACCGCUGACAUCUGCAUACAGUCACAGGUUAACACAGACAGAGACUGCGGUGAUUCUGCCUCUUUGCCAUGUAUUUUUAAAGCAUCUCUUUGACCAUUUUGUCUGUUUCUCACUGUGUUUAUGGCCCGUUAUUUGCAAAAUAUCCUAAAUCCAUCGAUCAGUGAUGAAAACAAUGAGGAGUAUAAAGUCCGUUAGUCCGCUGAAACAGAUAGCCGCGAUCCGCAGUUUGAUUUCAUUCAACGAUACAUGGAUUCACUGCCCCCUAUCGUCCAGAAGGUGCCAGAACGAGUGGGAUCCGGACGUCACUUUCCUGCGCCACUUGAGAUUGUGAAUCAGAUUGAAUUAUGAGACACUUUUUGCGGGGCGAGCACGAAAAUCAUUUCUGAGUUUGCUUUUGCUUUUUAAUUUAGUCACAAAAUGAGCAGUCUUGAAGAAGAAAAUGAAAAUGCAUUUUGGAAUGUUGCUUUUUAUUUUUAUUUUUGAGUCAAAUAGUGCAGCCAUGACUUUGAAAUGAAAAAGCUAUUCUGCUAAUGCUUUUGAAUUUUCGAAUUUGACAUUUCAAAGAGAAUUUUAUUACCUUUUUGCUGGUGAAUGUUUUGAAAAUUAAAUGUUAAAUGUGAUUUGCUUUUGCUUUUUAAUUUAGUCACAAAAUGAGCAGUCUUGAAGAAGAAAAAGGAAAUUGCAUUGAUGCAUUGCAUCAAAUAGUGCAGCCAUGACUUGGAAAGGAAAAAGUAUUUCUGCUAAUGCUUUUGAAUUUGAGAUAUGAGUCACAAUCGCUUCCAUAGUUUUGAGCUUUUCCUUUGUAGAAAUAAUUCCAUUUAAACUAAAAUUAAUAGACAAAAACACUUAAAAUUUGGUCUCCUUUAGUAAUACUCAGCAGUCACCAAUACAGACACAGUAAUAAAGAAUUUAAGCCCAUAUCUAUUAAAGUCUUAAUAAAGUCAAAUACACACAGAUUUUUGGAAAAACAGGCAAGUCUGUGUCUCUACAAACCAGCAGUAUCAGAGCAGUCUGAGAGUAUGUUUACAGAUUUGUGCUUUAAUUUCAUCAAUAAGAACAAGAAUGCAGAAACUGGACACAGGUGUCUGAAAUCAUUUUCUGCUUAGUUCUCUUGUUGCAGCAAAUCCACAUUUAGUCAUUUGAGCCUUCCCAUUACUGCAUGUCUGUGAGGGUCAUUUUCAGAGUCUGCUUCACAUGUGAGUGUUCAGCAACUAGAUACUCAGCACCUUCGGCUGUAUCCACUUUGUUUCUAUAGAAAAUAUAUAACUCAGGAGGUGGUAUUGUGUAGUCAAACAAAAAUCUGCUUCCUUUAAAAAAGUAAUUGACAAUUGAUCUGUAAAAAUUCAAAAGAUCAGUCACAGAAAAUACUUUCAGUAUAUCUACAUCUGUGAAAUAUAACAUAUCUACAUAUGAACUGUAAUACAUCUACAUCUAUAGUUAUGAAAUAUGGAUGAGAACCCUUGAAAUAAAAACUAAAAACCUUCCUUUGCAUUAAUACCCAUGUGAUGUUUCUUGUGGUUGGUUCCCAUUGACUAACAUAUUUUUAAGAUAUCAGACCACUGAUAAAAAUAUAAAACACUGCUGAGAAUUGUGGGUAUCUUUCUGUAGUAAGUAAAAAUAAGACUGGGGGGCAUCAUGUAUUUUUUGUAUGUUUUUUUUUUGUUUGUUUGUUUGUUUGUUUUUUACAUUUACAACAAAAGUUACAAAAAGUUACAAUGUUUGGUAUCCAAACCACAUGUAUGCAAAGUUUUAAAUCACAAGGUAAGUGUAUGCUGUCAUAAUCUGAGAAAAUAGAUGUAAAUCAAAUCUCGGACAAAUGCGAAAAAAUACGAGGAAGUAGUUUAUGUGCCAGAUUUACUAAAAUUCUGACGCAAGCAUUAUAGACCCUCCUAACUGGUUCAUUUGAGCAUCGGGCAAAGCAGAAUGGCCUGAGACCAACAGUGUGUAAAGUGAUAACCACAGCAGAGCGGAGUAACCACAGACAUAAUAUACACACAUAUGCGUACAUAUAUGAUGCCGAUAGGGGUAACGCUGCUCAACUGAUCAACCAAAGCCUCUGGAGCAUAGCUGUCAAGUAUCCAAUUGAGGCCUGGAAACUGCCAUAUUUUACCCCUCUUUCCCGCCGUCUUACCAUAUUAGUAUUCUUCCGUAAAUCUCCAGUGUUAUAAUAUAUGCACAUAAAGAAACAUUAGUCUGUCUCUCUAAACAGAACUAUGCCACAAGUGCGCACUAAGUACUAGCCAAUUAGUAGUAGUGAGUUACCAUCUGUGAUCACAUAGAGGAUGAACUAAUCUGAGGCUUUUUUUUUUUUUUUUUUUUUUUUUUUCUUUUAACUGAAAAUUACGUAAAGCUUUGAAAGAGCAAUCAAAGAGGGAGUAUAGAGUCUGAAAAAAAAUGCAUGACACCUCCCCUUUAAAUACAGUGUAUUAGAUCAGGGCAGCGGCAUCCUGACAGCAGCAGAAUAUGAUGGAAAGGAGAAGCCUGAACCACAGAUACUGACCUCAGCCCCCACAGACAGGAGAGCCUGACCCUCGGCCCAAAUUAAAUUACCACAAAAACACAAUAAAUUCAGCUCUGAACCUGAAGGCCUCGCUGGACUUGUGUCUAACUCCACCCUGAAGAACAACGACUCUUUGAGGACUCACAGACCCCUGGAUUCACAGCAUGGUGGUGACAAUACUGCAGGAUUUAGCUGCCUGUAUAAUCUCAGACCACUGCAGGCUCUGCUAAUAAGGUGUCCCUGCAGUCCUGCCCAGGGCUCCGGGGUGUGUCAGGUUUAUUGUUGUCUGAAAGCAGCACAUUAUUAUAGGGAAGAAAAAACAUCUGGUAAAUUUGAAGCCAAAGGAACCAACAAAAAGAGAGAGUAUCUGACAAGUUUCACUCUUCAAAUAUCUGGUAUGUCACCAUGUAAAAGGUAUUGGUGGAGAAAAAAAAAAAAAGUACACUGAAAAAUGUGCGCUGAGUUUUAUGAGAGUCCCAGUUUUAUAUGUUGAUGCUGAAAUAAACCCUCUUUUAAAGAUGUUUCACUUCAGACCUCUCAAAGUUCAGAGCCUGACUACAGUUUGCUCGUUAAAUGGAGCACAACAUGAGCACUGACUGAGCAGGGCCCAAAGAGAUUUUUCAAGUUUUUUGGUGUAACAUGAAUCAAAAAUUGGAAUCUGCUCCCAUUCCCUGUAGACAAUAAUCAGUUAUGACUGAACUAAUAGCUGUUUUUCUUGGGGCCCAUACAAAGCAAGACAAAAUAUCCAAGAUCAAACAACAGGUGAAAUAAUACACAUGACAAAAAGAGAUUAAAUAAAAUGAUAAGAUUAUCAUUCAUAAGCAAUACAUAAAAGUAGUUAUUCAAAAUGGUUAAUGAUUUGCGUCCUCAUAAAAAUGCUGUGUAGCCAAGAUACACCACAGGUACUGCUUUGUGGUUAAAGCAGUAUUUUAUUUAUUCUUCACCUGCCGCUCGGCCGUGUCUCUCUGUCCUUUUCAUCAUCAGUACUGUCUGAUUUAGCACCUUCUGUUGUCUCUCCCUCACUGCCAGGCCCCUCUUCUUUCUCCUUAUUUUAUUAUUAUUAUUUUUUUUUAAUAAUGAGUGAAAGAUGGCUUCAUUUGUAGAAACAGUGAAACACUUGUGGUGAAAUUCUGUCUGUCUUUGGUGAAUGAUGCGCAUAUGUGCUGAGCAUGUACAAGAUGGCUCUGUAUCCUAAGAACAGGAGAGAGUGCAGGUAGAGCAGACUGACUAAGCCAGUGAAAAAGAGGGUAACUUUCAACCACAAUGUCUAACACAGGGCACUAAAACAUAUGCACUUGCACAAACAUAUAUAUUUCCUACUUUCUUGAGUCUCUUGCCUCAUGCAAAAUUAAAAACACGAUAAAUAUAGAUUAAAAAUACAUGACAUUUAAUUGUGAUUUAUCCAAAUGAAUCCACAGCAACCCUGGGAUUAGCCUGAUUAUAAUGUUUUGUUGUUUAACAGCACUACUCCUUUUAAAGAAAAUAACUCCUGACCUUGAGCUAAGACUGACCACGAUGUUUUAGUUGGUCAGAAAAAACAAAUAAAGGGUCUAACCCAGCAAUGCCAAACAGCCAAGCAACCAGACGGUUUGCACUUUUCAAGGUAGAUUCACCUUUGAAUAUAAAAACACUGGUGUAAAUAUCUGACUGUGUUAAGCUGCCUCCCACUCAGCUGCUUAGCAAACCCCUGUGAAGAAGUGUAAUGAUCACGCAGCAGUGUCCGACCACCUCUGCAUCUGUUUGUCUCGAAUAGAAGGCCAGAAAAGAGCACUUACUUAACCCAAGCAGUUCUUUCUGUUAGUGGGAGUUUUCCUGUCCUUUCUGUCUGGCCAGACUGAGAAAAGAGCUCUCCUUUUCUCCAUCUCAUCUCCCCUUCUAUCACCACGGAUGCUGAAGAGGAGGCUGCAGCUGCACACACUCACACUCGGUCACUCUCUGUGCAAAGUGACCCGGUGUGGGUUGACCCUGACAUUUCCUCUCCUCUAAUGUUCUUUAAAUGGGCUGAAGGGCAACUGUAGUCUUGUAUGGCUCCACAGGCAGCCAUUAUGAGGCAGAGAGCAGCAGCAGAGGGCAGGCCUAGACAUUACCUCUGCAGGUUCCCACAUCCUCACCUCACUUUUUUCUCUCAGACACACUCAGGCUUUGAAGAUGGCUUCUGUAAUGUAUGCUAUUAUGUGGCUCUGAUUAUCAAGACAGGUAGAGGUGGGAGACUGUCAUCAUUAGAGGUCCAGACCCCACUGGAGACAAAGAGACCUGUUGGUCAUUAUAAAGAGGAUCUGUUUUCCGCCUGCCCUCUGUUUGGUUGAUCUGAUGACUUUCUUUACACUGAUGCUAGACCUUCUUAAUCACAGGUAGAAACCUGUAUUUUGCACCACAGACUGCUCUUCAGUUUUAAUUUCAGGCUGCUUCAUGCUCUAACAUUUAACCCUUUGGGCUUCUGCAUGUGAAUUUUUCUGUUUGAAUAGAGCUCUAAACUUGUUUUUUUUCUUUUGGCUGCAAAAAAAGAUAACUAAAGAUAGGAAAAAAACAUGGAGAAGGCGAUAUCAUUGUGUUGACUUUUUGACUGCAUGGACGUGUGAAGAGUUUAACGUAACAAUGUGAGAGCAAGUUGGGGUGUUGAACAGUGCCCUCAAUGAUCAUUUGUUCAUCUGUAUUUUAUUUUUAAUGAUGUUUGGCAAAGUGAAUUUGUAACUUGUGACACUGAAAAGCCACCUUGGUAGUGGGCGUGUUCAAUAAAAAAGCUCUCCUGCACUCAGCUCUCACUGAUUGCAGUUUGGUAGAGGGUAGCAGUAAUGCAGGUCAUUCUUUUCUUUUCCUCUGUUUCAGUUCAGUGCAGAUUUUGGGUUCACAUUGUGUUCCAUCUGUAGGACCAUGUUCUGUCAACAAUAAAUAUAUAAUUAAUAAUAAAUAAUUUGUAAGUUACUCUGUAAGUAAAGCCAAAAAAACAGACACGAUCCGUAUUGAGCGCAUUUCAUCAGCGUUGUGUCUCUGCUGCAUCGAGCAGCACUGUCUAUUGCAUACAGGAUGCGUGUUUAGAGGGUGGCAGCUGGGCUCAGUGUGGUGGAAACAACAUGCUUACAACAGGUUGUGUUGCCUUUCUGUGGUCUAUUUCCCGCUUACUUGGAUAUAAUUCAGUGACUGUUGAGCAUUUACUAUAUGUGAAAAAGCAACAUGAAUUUACAGUUUCAGUUUUUGCAGGUUUACUCGUGUUUAAUGAAGUAAACUACGUUCCUUUAUGCUGUGCCCUUACCUUCAGACAGAGGUAGCAGUUAAAAGUCCUGUUGGGGUCCACAUGGAUCAGGGAUUGACCAUCAGUUUGUUCUGUGUUACUGAUAAAUCCAUAACCAGUAAGUAUUUCUCAUCUACACAAACUGAUACACAGUUAGGAGUCCACAUAUGGUGUUUUAUUUUGAACAUACCCAGUUUUUGAGCUUGACAUCCUGUCUAGAAUGAUCUUCCUUGUGUAGAUUGACACGUGUUCGAAGUGUAGAGCAGCAAAAAUAAACUUGGCGUGUAUCUUUAGCAGAGCCGCGCUCGACAGGCUUCUGAUACGGAGCUGAUACGCGUCCUGUAUGCGAUGCUGCAUUGCUCAGAAUGGCAACCUAUUUGCUGCGUGAUAUGCAACGCUGACAUAACGCGCUCAAUAUGGAUCCUGUAUGUUUUAGCCUUAACUAAAGCAUCCAACCGCUGCAGGCAAGACACUCGUUCUUCUAUAGCAGCGGUUAAAAAACUUUCUCUGUGUUGCCCCACCACCCUAAAAGAAGAUUUUCAAAAAGGCCUGUGUAUGAUUUGGCUUCGCAAACAUGUACCACCCCUUUAUUUCGGUCAUUUCAGUUAUGAAAUAUAUAAAACUCCACCUCAUCCCCUUCUAUGAAACCCAUUUUUGUAACAUUUAUUUCAGAAUUACUGCGCUGUGCUUUGAACUGUGUGCUUCUAGAAAAAGUCAAUACAAAAACAGAGAAAAGUUUUCAAAAGUUUCACUAUUUUGCAACAAAAAACAACCCACGUUAAAUUCAAAAAAAAAUUCUGUGGCAUUUAGCAUUGCACCGUGCCUUUUCAAAAGUACAUCUCAAUUAAAAUAACUAUUCAAAAGAAAUUUUAUUCUAAAAUUGAACAAAACACACAUUGUGAAAUUGGUCCCUUGAUUGAGACAAAACAACUAUUUUUUCAGAAGAGAAAACUUAAGUUGUAAAACUUGUAAAACUUAAGUCAUAUCAAUGCUAGAACAAAACAACCUCCAGUUCGGCUUCAACAAACCACAUUUAUGUCAUAUCAGUGUAUUAUGUAAAGCUUCAAAUGUAAAGAACAGCAUAUCAGAAUUUUGUGAUGUGAAUUUGUUGGGUCUCUUUUCCUCAGCUGACAACACAGAAUGAUUUACUCACCAUUUUCUCCUCACCUCACUGUCACUUGUCUCCACUCUAGUGCCCCCUGACCAAUUUAGGAAAACGGAUCUGAGCCCGGGAACGGGUCUGACUAGCCUCUUGUUUGUUUUUGGAUAUUUGUUUGUGUUUUUUUAUCCUGUUCUUUCAGCUCUGUGUUUAAAUAAACACCACUAAGUGUCGAUAGAUUUGUGAUCUUCACAGAAACAGAUUUUAGAGGCCAAGCACACUACCAAUCAGAUGACCAGUCACCAGAAGGUCCGUCAGUGCAUCUUUAAUUAUUGGAGACAUUUUUUUAUCCAUAAGAUGCAGUGUUUUGUUCCUUCAGUCUGUUUCCUGCUGCUGCAUAAAUGUUUAGUGUAAUUCCCUGUGUGGCUCUCGUCACUCUCGAUCGUUUAAAACUGCCAGGGGAUCAACAGCAACUUUCCACAUAAUUGUCAUUAAUCCCACCUCGUCUCGACUCAUAUCACAUCAUCUUUUUCCUAAACCCCUUUACAUCCAUCCAUCACACAUCCAUCCAUCCAUCCUUCCCUUUGCUCCCUCCAUCAUAGUGGUGCCAGGGGUCGUGGUAAUAAAAGCCAGGAGUCAUGGCAUAAUUAUCAUUACAUACAUUCCAAUUUAAAUGCUAAUGGAUCCAGUAAUUAUUGGGUAUAUUAGACAAAACACACACACACACACACACACACACACACACACACGUACGCUCGCACAUACAUAAGUAUAAAGCCAAGUGUACACACCCAUGAAUGGAUGGACAGCUUCAUGGAUUCACACUCACACACAGGCGAACACACACUUAUUAAUAAUAAGAUGAAAUUCCCUAAUUAUAAUGAAGUCUGUGAUAGCUAGCUAGCCCUCACAGUCAUUAGUGUGAAUACAUUUCCCUUAGGUAAUUACCAACAUAUUUCAACCCUGUGAUUAAAAGAUGAUUCCUGAUUUUUUUCUCUUUUUUUCAGAUAAUGGGGCUAAAGAAGAGCUUCUCAGAGGAUUUGCUCACUUACACUCACUGACACAACUCACAAGGGGGAAAAUAACCCUUGUGAACCUCUGCCCCCCCACCCCCCGAGUGUGGGUGUAUUUCUAUCCGACAUGAGAGCACUUGUGGUCAUGGACAUGCCUGAGAGAGCCUGCAGGGCCUGAAGGAGCUCAUCACCAGGCUCACAUGAGCUUCAGGCCUCAGAUAUCUGACGAGGAGGUCGGAGAAGGGGACAAUUUUGGUUUUAUCCCAGGGUACCACACUUCCAUCCAUCACACAGAGGAGCCAAUCAGAAACCUUGAUAAGGGCUCACAUUGGAGCUUGAAGGACAUGAGACAUCGAUCAAUGUAGUGGAGGAAGUCUGGAGGAAUUAGUAAAAGUUUUGCAUAAAGAAAAUUCACCUCUUCCUUUUUGUGUAUGCUGAGGUGUUGAUAAAAGGUAAGCAUUUUACCAACUCUGAAGAGAGAAACUGCAAUUGUGUAAAUGACAUUAAAACACCAGUUAGUCUGGUGGUAAAAUACUACUUCAUAUAAACUUGCUACCACAGCUUCACAGUGUUACCAACAUGGUGAUUGACCAAAAACAAUUUAAUGAAUGGCAAAACAAACAUUAUGAUUCCAGUCUCUUUUCUGACACAAUACACAUAAUCUGAUCAGUGGUAGAGCUGAAUGAUAUAUCCUUAAGCCACGUAAAUCAGGAAAGCCAAAGUGGCAUUACAAAAAGCAUCAGCGGAUCAUUAAGGUAUUUGUGCAAGUCAAUAUGUGAGAAACACACUGUAUAAAAAUGGACAUAGUAAGGGUGGUAUUUGUUUUCCAUAUUGGAAAUGCUUUUGGUCAACCUACCACAGGCAAGCGUUUAGCCUCCUCAUAGAUCACUACCAUGUGCUCACCUGGCAGUCAAGUCAGCCUCUGAUUCACUGACCUCUUAAUAACUAAUAACUAAUAAACCAGGCAGUUAUCAUGUUCAUUUCUGCUUAUGUGUUUUUUGGGGGGGGCUUACUGUGCAUUAGGGGUGGGAAUCACCAUUGGCCCCAUGAUACGAUAUUAUCAAGGUACUAAGGCUGCAAUACGAUAUUAUUGCAAUUUUUAACAAAUUGCAAUACAGUGAGUAUUGCUAUACAAUAUGAAUGAAACUUUAUUUAACCAGAGAAAAACCUCACUGAGAUUAAAAAUCUCAUUUGCAAGAGUGUCCUGGCCAAGACAGGCAGCAGUAUAUUUACAGAGCUACGGACAUAAACAAUUACAGACAUAAACAGACAUACAGACAUAACAACCUGCUAAGUCGAAGUCACAGAGCAGAACAUUAUUAGUCGAAGCACUUACAGUCUGCUUUAUCUUCCUCUAGGGCCUUUAAUCUACAUUUUAAAAGACUGUAACAGACCAGCCCUCCAGAACACAUUUUUUCUUGUAGCAGAGUCCAGCCUGUUGGAGCAGCAUAUGUAAAACUUUUUUUGCCCAUUUUAAGACGAACUUUGGGGACAAAUAGCAAAAGUAGAUUUUGUGUCUGAGUCGCAGAACGAAGGCUAUAGCUUCCAGAACUUUUAACAUGAAUACAAUUACACAAGUAUGGUGAAGCAGGCCAAGUACAGCUAUGUAAAUCAGGAUGUGCCAAUGGUUCAGUCUAUGCAUGGCUAGAAAAGGCCACCCAACUUGUUCAUACAGAGUAAAAUGACGAGUUAAAGCCUUGAGGUUUGUUAUGGACCUUACAGCUCCAUGAUAAACAGUAUUCAAAGAUUAAGGCUUUGAGCAGAUGCAUGCAUAUAUAAAACAUCACCAUAGUCAAUCAGAGGCAUUAAGUAGCAGCAACAAGACGCUUUUUUGAAGCAAAAGGAAAACAAGACUUAUUUCUGAAGUAAAAGCCUAGCCGCAACCUAAGCUUCUUUACAAGCUGCUCAAUACGAAGCUUAAAAGACAGAGAGUCAUCUUUUACGAACCCAAGAUACUUAUAAGAAGGUACAGACUCAAUCACAUCACCCUGAGCUGUAACAAUAGAUGGCAGGAUCUGUGACCUUUAUAUAUUGAGAUUUUUUUUUUUUUUUUAACUGUUUAGCUAAUUUAGAAUUUGUCUUUCCCUGAUGUUUGUCUUGUUUAUGCUGUAUUUUAUUUUCAUGUAGCACAUCUUGUAAACCUUUCAUAUAUUUGUUGCACUAACUUUCUCCUGCUCUGAUGAUGUCACCUCUGCCAACCUCACCUCUGCCAACCUCACUGGACAAACAGUUGAUUUUAUUUUCCAUUAUCAUAGAUUUGACUUCACAUUAGCGAUUAAUUUGAAAAACUGAUACUUGGUAAAUGAGGCGAUAAAAUAUAUCACCAGACUCAAGAUCACGAUACUACGCUGUAUCAAUUUUUUCUCCCACCCCUAAUGUGUAUGCUGUUUCCAGUGCUUUUUCAGCAGCCUCUUCUGGACACUCAAGGAACUACAGUUUUUAGUGCUUCAUUUCCAAAGUUUAAAGGUUGCAGCUUUGUAGGAAAAUGUGGAGAAUUAUACAGUAGUUUCAUAAUGCCAAUCUUUUUUUUUUUCAACAAUAUCAUGUUAGUUUGUAGGACAAGUGGAUUUAAGAAGUUGUCAACAAAGUGCAAAGAAGUGUGAAAACUAUGAAUGCAAGCACAGCUCCAAAGCGUACAGAAUUAUUAGACUAGCUUGUGAAAUUAGGAAUUAGAGAAAAACUUUCAACCUCUACAGUUACUAUCAAAGGAAUAAUUUGUAAACACAAUAAUUUGAGGAUAGUACAGAAAUUGAACAGAUGAGAUAGACAGUGAUUCACUUACUAAAGUCCUGGAAACCACAGGAAAGCCUUAGUAUCAAGCACUGACUUACUGAAAGUAAAGUAAACAAUCAACAGAAUGUAAAAUAACAGCUACAAUGAACAAAAGUAUGAAAGCACCUAUUCCUUUAUGAUAUUCUGAUUAUGUACUGCUUUGUCUUAAAUAAGAACUGCCAAUUAAAGAAACAAUGCCCACAUUUUAUGUUAUUUUAAUUCACAGAUUUAAGCUUUGUGAAAUUUAAGCUUUUACUUUACUAGUUUUCCCUCCUUCGUUAAUCACCCAUAAGUUUCGCCUGUGUCUCAUCUGCCUCACCCGUUGCUCGUUUAACAAGUGUGUACAUAGUUGCUGUCUUCCUCUCUGUCUUCAUUGCUUCAUUGUGUGCGUAUGUAUAUUGAUGUCAGCGUAUGCUUGUGUUCUUCCGUUGUCUCCUCAUGGUUUUUACCCAGUGCCUUUUUGAUUCUUUGGAUUAAGCUUCUUGUGUUUUUUUGUUGUUGUUGUUGUUGUUGUUGUUGUUGUUCAUUGUUACUUCCUUCUUUACAGGACCAAAAGCCAUCAAAGUGUGGCCAUGUAUAUGCAAAACAGGUUCAGCGCUCAUCCUUCAAAAUGCCUUUAAAUGUGUUUGACUGUAUUCAAUAGUAGGCAGUUUGAAAUACAGCCCUAUUCUUUUCACCAAAACUGAAGUGUGAUAUACUGAGUUCUGUGUCUUCUGAAAUGCAACAGAAGAACAGGAGGCUUUUCAAACAUGUAAAGGAUCAGCCUUUUACAGCUUUCUCUGAGGCCAGCUCUGAAGCUGCCUGGUGAGUAUUUGUUCUGUUUUUUACAAAAAAAAAAAAAAAAUAUUAUAAUAAUUGAAAAUUUUGAAGUCUGAAAUUCCUACCCAGUUCUGACCUCUUGACUAUCUCCAAUCUUUGAUGCUUUAAAAAUAAAAAAUGAGACAGUUUUUAGAAAAAUGAAAAGCUUGAUUCUCUUGAAGAAAAUACAAAAAGAAAAGAAUCGUGUUCUUCAAUUUUCCUUUGACUGAUGACAACAACCACACAUACACACACCCAAACCCACACACAGACACACACAGAACCAUACACACACUUACAACAGACAGCAGCCGUAAUCAUCUCUGGUAUGUCCAGGAUGAAUGGUUGUCGAGGAAACAGGUAGAAAUAGAAAAGCUGGAGGAAGAAGAAAGACAGUGGAGUGACCGUUUGUUUCUGAUAGAGGAUGGUGUGUGUGUGUUAGUGUGUGUGUGUGUGUGUGUGUGUGUGUGUGUGUGUGUGUGUGUGUACGUGUGAGAGAGAGAGAGUCAUCUUUGGAGAGCUACCACUACGUUUCCUUGCAGCCCUGAAUUGAUUGAGAAAAUACAGAAAGUGUUUCCAAUAACCAGAAAGUCCAAACUGUGGCAAAAUAUUCCCAAACACGCUCCGCUCUGCACCUUCCAAUCAUGUGAAACUUUCACAUCUCUGCGAUCGAUGCUCAGCCUGUUCAGGGAAAUGCAUCAACAGUAUGAGCAGCCGGCUUUUCAAGCAGGCAUGAAACUCUAUGUCUACAUAUCUGAGUGAUAUGAACCUGAUCCACAGUUUUACUGUUAAUUUGCUGCCUGCACUUCCAUUGUUAUCACAAUGGGAUGCACAGUGUUUCGUACAGAAUACAUUCUACAGCUUUAUACACUUGCAGCUUUGCAAAGGCAGAUCUCUUUUACCCUUAAAUCUGUACGUCCUAAUGUUACUGUGGUUGUCAUGGAAAUUUCUUCCUAGAGAGGUACAGAGAAUAAAGAGUUAUUAAUCUUAGAAUCAGCUCAAUGGGGGACAAAACUGGAGACAGUUGUUUUAGACAGGACUUAAGUUGGCUUUACCAGGGCCUGAGCACCAAGGAUGCCGUGAUCCCAUUGAAGUAGAAAUAAUAUUCUUUAUCAUUCUUCUUUUACAGCACUACCCCGAACUUUCAAUGCCUAAAUAUAAACUCACAUUUAUGAAAAUGUUUUAGAAAAUUCUGGAAAUCAUACUUUUCAGUAUUAUUGGAGCAAAUUUCCAAGGGUCCCUUAAACAUUUGUUACUCUGAGAGUGUAUGUCUGAUCCAACUUUUACAGCUAGAUGAUAUGUGAACAAAGAAAAGUAACUUAGUUCCUGUGGGCAUCUCUGACAUACAGUAUUUGCUCCAAUCUGACACAAAAACAUCAUCCACAUAUAAGGCUGUCAGAUGUGAUGAAGGUGGUGCAUCAAAUUUCUAUUUUAACAUGUUGUCUCAUAACAUUUCCAAAUGUCUGAGCUCGACCCUGUAUCAUCACAUCUGCACAACAUUCCCUGGGGGGUCCAGGCCUGAACAAAUCCAACAAAACAACACAGAACCAUCCUCCGGCAACGAGAAGUGACUGCCUUCAUGCAACCACUGUGAAAUCCUCUCCGGUUUGCCAGUUUCCUCCCCAUCCUUCUGGUACAUCCUAAGACCUUCCUCUACACCCCAGAAGAGCAUAGAAUUCUCGGUUGAACAAUGUACAGUUGAGGCCAAAAUUAUUAGCCCCCCUAUGAAAUAUAGUUUUUUUCCAAAAUUUCUUAAGUGCUGUUCAACAGAUUUAUGAUUUUUUUUCACAGCUUUUCCAAACAUCCUAGUUUUAUUUUGGAUCCUUACAUUAUUUUACUUUGCACACAGAAACUCAAUUAUUUCAGAAAAAACAAAAACUACCAGGGUCAAAAUUAUUAGCCCCCCUUAAGAACUGAGGUCUUCAUUGAGCCAAAACAAAAACCACUGUUGCGCAAUCAUGUACUUUCACUUUCGAGUGCUCACAGCUUGUAAUCAAUCAAUCAAUUCAGUUAAAACAAAGGGUUGUCCUACACUUUACACACAGGGCUCUAUUUUCGUGUCCACCAGUGAGGCAGCGGAGGGUGGUACGUGCGCAGUGGUAUUUCCGUCUGGCGGAGCCCGGCAUACAGCCAGUUUGGUAUUUUCUUGAACUGAGGCGUACCGAGGUCCACCAAACUGGGCGUGGUGGCGUGGCAGGGGGAGGUGUCGACAGAAUCAGCUGCCGCAGUGACAUUUUCGUGCUCGCCGGUGGCGUAUAACGUGCGCUGAAAGCUCGCCAAUUCCAACCUGGUCAGCCUUUAGCGCAGGCAGAGCGCAGCUGGUCUAGUGGUAUUUUGGUAGUAUCGGCAUACGUCACCGAUGCCUCACCGGCAGUUUUCCACAGUGUCAGGCACAUUUCAGUGCAAUAAAUAAUCAUCAACAACUAAUAAUCUGAGUCAGCACAUACAUUUAGAUCUAUAUAGAUAUAUUCUGAUCUAUAUCUUAUCUGAUGAGCAUGUUUGGCACGCGUUUGGACACAAAACCUGACCGAAUCAACACAGCUGAAACCGCAUUAAAUUAAAUUUAAUAUCUAGUAAAUAGACACACAUGAUGAAGUUAACAAGAUAUGUAAUUUGUCUCCCUCCUUUUCUUUCUUCCUCUUCCUCUUAUUUCUCACGCAGCACGACCUGGACAUGUCUCUGUGUCCUCUCCCCGUCCUGCUGCAGCGGCUGAACAGAUGAUUCGUUUCAGUGAUUAGAUGAGUUAUUUACUUUUAGCCUACAUACGAAUAUUAUAAUAUUCAGUUUUGUGAGCCAAAUUUAUUUUAUAUGCCAACAUCUAUGAAAGAAAGAGCCAUGCCACGGAGCGCGAUGCGUCAUUUACGCACAGAUGGUUCCGGUUUUAAUGCCAUUUUUAGAAUUUAUGAUGUGAUCUCUGCGCACAACCCACCUUUGUCACGUGAGGUUUGAAUAUGUGCAACUUUAUGUGAGUGUCUUUAUUUGUGGAAAGGGUGUUUGUCUUACUAGUGGGUCCAACAUUACACACACCAAAUCCAUCUGUGCUCAUAUGAGAGAGUGUGAAGGAGGCCCUCUGCAGCGACACUUGUUGAGGAGCUGCCUUCUGUCGCCAUCGUGUGGCAUUACUCUCUUCAGACAUCUCUUGAUCUCUUUGACUAUUUCACGUAAAUAGUAAUACGCCUCGCCGGUGGCAGAUUUAAAGGCGAGGAGAGGAGCUGAUGUUAUUGGUCAAUACAGGUCUCGGCUGUGUUAAACCCACUCCACGCCCUCUCUCCUCUCUCGCUACGAUUUACGCUGCUGGGAGGAGCUGAGUUAGGGAGGGGGGAUACCGCUCACCAAAAUUCCAAAUUGUGCUUGGGAAAGCCUUGUCAGCGCAGUGGCACGUCUCCGGCGAGGCACGAAAAAAGAGCCCACAGUAUAAAAACCUUGUUACGCAUUUGAGCUGUCACUUGAGAAGGCAUCAUGACAAAUACAAAAGAAUUCAGUUUAGACUUCAGAAAAAGAAUUGUUGAUGCUCACAAAGCAGGAGAAGGAUAUAAAAAUUUAUCACAGAAUUUCCAAGUGUCAAGAAGUGGAGUGAGAAGUGUCAUCAAGAAAUUCAAGGAGAGCCACACAGUACAGAACAAGUCUGGAAGAGGUAGGAAGCGAAAAAUUUCAAGGAAACUGGAAAGAAAACUGGUGGGAGAUGUGUCUAAACACCCUAGAACAACUACCAAAACAGUAGUUGCUGACUUAGCCAAGUCAGGAAUUGUGGUGUCAAACAAGACAGUCUCUAGAGCCCUAAACAGUAAUGGACUGCAAGGAUGCAGGCCAAGAAAAACUCCACUUCUACAAAAAAGACACCUCCAAGCCAGACUGAGAUAUGCUAAGGACAAUCUGGAGAAAGAUUGUGCAUACUGGAGAUGUAGACUUUGGUCAGAUGAGACCAAACUAGAGCUCUUUGGUCACAGAGACAUUGCUUAUGUUUGGAAAAAGAAGGGAGAGGCAUAUAACCCCAAGAACACUGUACCCACAGUUAAACACGGUGGUGGGAGUAUCAUGGGAUGUUUUAGUGCAUCUGAAACUGGGAAUCUUGUCAAGGUUGAAGGAAUAAUGAAGAAAAAAGGAUAUGUGAAGAUUUUGAAAGAAAACCUCAAGCAGUCAGCAGCAAAACUGGGUCUGGGUCGUCGCUUUGUCUUCCAACAUGACAUUGACCCAAAACACACAGCGCUCCUGGUGAGGAACUGCCUCCAGGAUACCAAAGUGAACGUUAUUGACUUGCCAGCACAAAGCCCUGACUUAAAUCCUAUUGAAAAUCUGUGGGCUGCACUGAAGACCAGGGUCCAUGCUAGAAGACCAUCAGAUCUGGAGGAGCUUGAAAGAUUUGCCAAAGAGGAAUGGGCUGGGAUUCCUCGGGAGAUGUACCAGAGCCUUGUUACAAACUACAGCAAACGACUGCAUGCUGUUAUCCAGCAAAAAGGACACACAAUUGACUAUUAGCCUCAGGAAGGCUAAUAAUUUUGACCCUGGUAAUUUUUGGUUUUUCUGAAAUAAUUUUGUUUCUGUGUGCAAAGUAAAAUAAUGUAAGGAUCCCAAAUAAAACUAGAAUGUUCGGAAAAGCUGUGUCAAAAAAUCAUUAAUGUGUUGAACAGCACUUAGAAAAUUUUGGAAAAAACACUGUAUAUAUAAAUGUGUGUGUGUGUGUGUGUGUGUGUGUGUGUGUGUGUGUGUGUGUGUGUGUGUGUGUGUGUGUGUGUGUGUGUGCGUGCGUUAGUAUUUUGUUAUGAUAUUAGCUAUGUAACAAAUGGGCUAACAUUUGUUUUCUUAGCUAAACAAAUCAGAGGAGCCUCUAACAUAAAGAGUUCUUAGGACUUAUAGAUUUCUGGUUUGUCUUUCCAUCAGGUCAGUGUAAAUGUUUCCUUGCCUGCCCCUGUUUUUUGCUCAGACCAAAUAAAAUCCUACUUUUACUGGCUUCUGUUGUCCCAUUGAGGUAAAUCUACACGUUAAAUAUGUUUCUCUCCUUUUUUGGCAUAUAAUAGGAUUAGUACUUGAUGUUUGAGAGUGAUCUAAAUUAAACAUGAAAGGUGUGAAAUGCCCUGUGUUUGUAUUUGUGCGUGUUUGCGUGGCUGUGUCAAUUCAGUACAAUCAUUCAUUGAGAAGCUCAUUGUCAUAAGACUAUUCACUUCAUUCACUCAGUGUGUAUCAAACUCCAACCUCUUCUCCCAUCACAAAACACCUUAGCCCCUGCUCUGAGAGGACUGGGAAACCAAAAACCAGUGUGUCCAAUAGGUACAUAAUGUUGCCCCCGCCUGUCUGCUCAAUUUGCUCGGCCUCCAGAAGCAACAACUCCCCCAACUGUGACCAAACAAUCUUGUUAGUUUUCCCUAUAUCGUCCUGUCUUACUGUAUGUUACAGAGGAAAUGACUCCUCGUCUCUGCUGCUGCUGGUUUCUCUAGAAAACGCUGAGUAGAAAUGGAAUUAUUUCUUUUACACACAGUUUAAGCUCAGAGAAAGGAGGAAUAUAGUUUCAUUCCAACAACCUUCAGCUUUAAUGGCUGGUUGGUAGGCUGUACUUCGCAAGAUUUUUAUAAACAUAAAAUUGGCUUUCAGUCAAUAAUGUAGGAUCAAUAAGGAUUAUGUUUCUGCUGCAGUGAGUCUGGUUAUAUGCAGACCCGGCGGCAUGGGCGGGCAUUGGGGGGCUGUGCCCGCCCACCGAGUCAGCUGUGCCUGCCCUGGACUAAAAGCAAAAUUUUCUAUUAAUUUGAUUUGGGGUUUGUUUUUUUCUGUGAGAGUAGUCAUCAUCAGUUAAUUCCAUCAAUCUCGACAUGUCAAUCAUUUCAACCAAUCCAAUUGAUCGAAGGCAACGUGUUAGCCAAUUACAGGUAAAGGGGGGCGGGCCAUUCACCGAGUUAAAGUUCAAAUAUUCAUAGAUUUUGUUCGUCACAAAAGGGCGACUAACACUGAUGGGAGCAAGCAGGAAGUAGCGGCAGCGCCACACAGCUCCAGUUUUAGGAAUCUAAGCACUGAAGCCAACUGUCACACCGGAGUAAACAAUCCUGCUAGCGGAGGGAGCAACAGCAGCUAGGGAACAGCAGGAGCUGCAGCGAGACCCUCCUGCCCGGGAAACGUGAGUGAUGACACCAAUGUUGUGAAUAACAGUAGAUUACUGAAGCUUCGCGGAAACAUUACAGCCAUGAGAAACAGCAGCAAGGCAGCUUCGUUCUGCUCCUGGUACCCCCUAGCUGCUCCACCUCCUCCCCGAGCAUGAAUGUUUACUCCGGUGUGACUGUUGGCUCGGUGCUUAAGUUCCUAGAACUGGAGCUGUGUGGCCAUACCAGCUAACACUCCCAUUUUUCCUGGGACUCUUCUGUAUUUCAGACUCCCGCCCACUUCCUGUAUUGUCAUUUCUGCCAUGAAUCUCCCGUAGUUUGAUGGUCCACAUUAAUUCAUGAAUCGGAUCACAUUAUUUGUCUUAAAUUUCCAGACAACUCAAGAUAGUCCUGUGUUUCUGCUGAGUCUCACAGACACUGGAUUGAUACUUUUACUUUACAGUUUGGGAUGAUUCAGGUCAGUUUAAGCUGUAAAUUAUAUUUAAGCGGUGUUUGUUACAAAACGAACACUUCAAUAAAAGGGAAACAAACAUCAGAUAUAAUAUUUACGUUGAUAGUCUUUUACCGUCUCAGAGUGAUGUGUUCAGGGCAGCCUCAGAUAAAAGAGUGCUGCACUGAUGUUCAGAGAGCCUCAUAUGGGAGAGCAUGUAAAACAAUUGAGGACUUUAACACCAAUGUUUGUGGACUAAAGAAGUUCAAGGCAUAUUGUAGCUAUCAUUUUUUUAUUACCAUUUGUUAUUGUUAAAACAAAAGUGUGCAGCUUCACUUACACUUAUUUGUAUGAGCUAUCUACUUACAAAUAUUCUCAUAAUUAGCUCAUAUCCACCAUACAAGGUAACCACAAAACUAACCGGCCCACGCCGCAAACAUCUCCUGGAUCUUAUAACCCAAAUGUUGGCAGGUAUGUAUGUGGUAUGAAGUACCCACAGACAUUAAAAUGCACACAUGCACAGGAAAAAAAAAAAAAGUACUGUAAUACUUGUUAAUAGUUUCCACUAGUAAGAGGUCUGGGGGUCUCAAUCUAUUACUCUAUUUAUGGGGGCCUAAUUUAUGCCCCCAAUUCACCACACUGUUUUGCAAUCAUGAUAUAGUCUUGCCUUUUCUUUUGGUUUGUUUUUGGGAACCUUUUUUAGUUUUUUUUUUUUACAUAUUUUUAGAUAAAUAGUAGAUACUUUGAUUUACAAACCUGAGGACUGUAUUUGACAUUUCUGCAGGGUUGUAGCCCUGUGAAAUUUUGAAAAGCUGAAGGUGUAAUCCCCUACAUAUACUAUAUAUGAACAAUUCAUACAGAGUGUAAUAAAUUUGUUUCACACAUAGUAAUACAGUGAAGAUGCAAAUGCUUUUUUAAGUAAAAUGGGACCUUAAAUUUAAUUGUUAGAGGGUUGGGGCCAAGGUUGAAAUGAUUUUAAAUUUUGCCUUGUGGUUUCAUGAUUCUUUAAAGCUUUUUUUUUUAUUAUUUUUUUUUUUUAACUAGUCAGGGUGGGAUGACUGUAGUAAGCCACUUUACUUUGGAUUCUUUAGGUUGGAAACUCAACCCCUUUUUUAGGUUUUGUUUCCUCUAGUUUGGAGAGCGGUAAACUCUUGUAUAACAUGCUUUCGCGCUGUGCUUUCAAGGAAGUUUUGUUUUGUUUUCUGUAAAAAGCCUGCACUCCCAGAACCCCCCUUUGAAACAAACAGCAAUGUUUACACAUAAUUCAUUGCAGCCCACUGAGAGACCCUCCAGUAAAACACACAAAAAGCAGAAAACAUUCUUAUUCAUCUGUAUUCUGAUUUAUGAAAAGAGAAGUGUAUUUGGUGCACGUAUAAUGCAUGGUGUUGUGGAUUCGUCUUGACCACUUUUUGUCUGACUCCAGUUUCUCUUUGGGCUGCUGGAGGUUGAAUCACACAUUUUCUGACGCCACGAGCCAGAAGAGUGAGCAAUUAUCUCUUGUAUUACUUUGACUUCACUGGUGCAAAUAAAUGCAGCCAAACAUACGCACCGACUGUGUGACAUAGGCACCAAGCACAUUUAUGAACACAGCCAAGGCUGCAAUUACACUUGUCAUGGUGAAAUUAGUUGUGAUUUGUUAGUUAGUCAAUUUGCACCUUGAUAAUAUUUCCCAACUCUUAGAAAUAAUGCAGUGUUGGUCAGGACAAAAGUUGCUAUGACUCGAUUGUCAUUAUUACUCAAGUUUACAAAGAAAAACAAGGAAAACACAGUCCAGCCACAUGCAUCUGCUGGUGGUAUUAAAGCCCAUAAGUCUGAAGUGAUUCACCGGAAGCUAAACCACAAACACAAUAUUUACAGCAAACGGACAUCAUUGCCUGGUCAUGUGCUCAAUGCUGGUCUUCAUUUUUUUUGAAGCCCUACAUCUUAUUAUUUUAUUGAGUGUGUUUUAUGACAAUUGCGUUGUUUUUUUUUUUACUUUGGAACCUUACCUUACCUUGGAACCAUAAAAAAAUCCUUGGAAAUUAUCUGGGAUAUCGUAAAAAACAUUUCUCUGAAAUGCUGGCAAUGCAUUCCAAAACACUGCAGAACAGUUUAUAUACAACAAAACUGGUUAGAAACUUCCGCCGUCCAAGUUAUAGUUGCAAGUUAUAACUUUAGCUGUAUCUUAGUUGGUAUAAGUAGGAGCAUUUUCAGCAUAAGAAGCGGGAAGAGUGGUCUGAGUGAUACUGGUACAUUAUUUACCUUUUGUCUUGGUCGGAUGGGCAGUGACUCGAGAUUAGGAAGGAGGAUGAAGAGGUUCUGGUUCUAAAACCAUGUACCACGGCACCACUGUGGGUACAUUUCAGAUUUAAGCCGAACAAUAAAGUAGAGCUGGGUAAUGUGGAGGAAGGAUAUGUGGAGGAUAUGUUAACUUUGCCAUUAAAAAAGUGCCGGUCAAGAGCACUAACACAACAAAUCUCAAACUACAUCUCCAGACCCACUAUCCACAGCAAUACGCCGAACUUGGACAGUACAGUAUAGUGUACAGUACAGUACAUAAUGUGUAUUAUUAAAUCUCAUUGUACUAUGAGAGUAGAAUAUAAAGAAGGGAAAAAAUUUCAAUAUAUUCACCCAUUGCCAUUAUUUGUCUGACAAAUAAUCAUCUCCAGAAAUUUCUAAUCAUGACAGCCCUAUCUGUUUACAUUGUAAAAGUGGUUUGGUAAAGCUGCCCCUCUCUUGAAGGAGCUCAUUGGUACAACGUUUGGAUGGUUACAAUCAGACCAAGUAUGAAUAAAGAAGAAUAAAAAAGUAUACGAAUGAUAAAGAACUGGACAUCAGUAAGUGGAAGUGCUAAAUCUGCAUUUCUGCUUAAGUAGCAGAUAUUCAUAAAUGUUGGCACCAAGCUAAUCAUCAGUGUUAGCUUCAUCAUUGUGAGAGUAUUUUUGGACCACCUCAGGGUGGAUUCAUCAGUUUAGUUCAAUUCACUUAAAACAAAUUUGGUUUUGGCAGUCAACUCAGACCUUACAGUGCAUUGACAAACAACAUUAGAGAAGUACAUGUCAUGACAACAUGACAACAAAUAAAUAACCAGUACAUUGAUACAGAUGCUCCUGCACAUUGCACCCCCAUGGCCACACCAAGUAAUGACAAGAACAGGCAAGAAUCACAGAAAGAGAAUAAAAGGAGGAGUUCAAUAAUAUCAAAUGAAUAAGACAUACAAAGGUGCAUUGCACAUGACAAGAAUGCAUGAACAAACAAACAGGUUACUCAUGGAUCACCCCUGACGGGAGGAGCCUGCUGACUCUUGAACUUUGACUUUUAUUGACUUCAUCACACUUCUUUUUUUUCUUGUGUAGUAAUCAUGUAGCAUUCAAGAAAAACUGAUUCACCGUUAGUUUCGUCACAUGUUAAGUGUAUUUUCAGCCCUCAACCUGUUCAUAUUUCAGGUUACAAAAAGAAGCAGUUAUUGUGUGACCUGACUGGGUCAACAGCUGUCUACACAUAUCUCUUGCUGGUGCUCUGGUCAGUGCUGUGCUACCCUGCACAAUUAGCUGUCAAUUAGUAGAAAACAUGCACUCACACACUCCACAGGCAUACAUACACAUACUUCCCCCAAGAGGCUGUCUGGGUACAGUGUUAUUAUCCUCUCUGCACAAAGGUUGCUUCAGAAAAACAAAGAGGAGACAAUGGAGGGCUGAUAAUUACCACAAUGAGAACAAGAGGAAGAGUGGAGGAUGAGAGUAGAGAUGGGAGGGAGGUGGAAAUGAAAGAGACGGAUGUCAGGGGGAGGUAGGCAUUAGUCUGAGCUUGUUAGUGUUACUGUGAGUGUUGGACAGACAGCCAGAGGUUUUGGAUCAUCAGCUCAGAAAACAGUAAAGAAAAUGAGUCCUGGCUAGCAGCCAAAUGUUACCGCUGUGCAUGGCUGUUCGCCACCACAGCAGCCACUGGCAAAGUGCCCCACAAUAAUUUCCUCCUCUAAACCCGGUUUGGCAGUUUAAGAGAAAUCUGAAGUCUGAGGUAAUUUAUUUUAACAACAGUGACACUGCGGAGCCUGGUCCUGACAAAUAUCAUGUCAGGAGGCUGCACAAUCAUCAAGUUUGUUUUUUUCCAUCAGAUUUCAUCAAACUGGAUCUCUGUGCUCAUUCGGGUGCAUCGAACAUAUCCGCCUGCUAACAACCAAACCAUGAGUAAAGCUACCAUAAGGAACUUUGUGUUAAUUUUGCACGAAUGAACUAAAUUGCGUGGCAAAGUUGGCUCCGUCUGCAAUUGUCCCUUUGGUUUCACGCCUAAACUGUAUAUAGAAUGAACGCCGUCUGCCUCCUCGCUGGGUGAAGCCACUAUGAGAACAGCACCCUCUGGUGACAGGCUGCAGUAUAGGAUAUAAAUCCUCCAGCAAUCCUGAUGGAGCUGUGGACAAACUUUAGAAAUUAAUUACACAGAACAUAAAUUGUUCUCCCCCUGCUUGCGAUGUUGACAUGUAGUUACUCUAAGACUGGUUUGUGCUAAAGUCUUCUUUAUUCUGUACAGCUCCUUUUUUGAAAGUUAUUAGGGGUUUAUGUUUUCUAUGAUUGACACUUGAUACAGCCUAUGGGCAAACGUGAUUGCGUGGCUCACCCGGGGAAUACACUGUUUGAGCAGAGCAUCAUGACUUUUAACACUGGUUUUACUGUUUUAUUGUACCUUUUUUUAAUGCACUGACUGUAAAGGCACUUUCUAAUUUCGUUGUGCUUGUCACAAUGACAAUAAAAUUCUAUCUAUCUAUCUCUCUAUCUAUCUGUCUAUCUAGCUAUCUAUCUAUCACAGCGACUUUCCCGCCAAAUGUGUACAAUGCUACUGCACAAAUGCUAGUUCCAGGAAGUCGAGAACAUCCCACAAAUAUAGAGAGCAAUUCGGCAUCAAAUUCGUAUAAUGACAGGAGGCGGAACUAAGUUGUCCUUAGUAUAUACAGUCCAUGGUUUCACCCAAAGAAAUUGACCAGAAUUUGCCAUGUUGGCAUGUCUCUGUUUGGGAACAACUGAUAUCAAAUAUGUUGUAAUGUUGAUGUGUAACUGCAAAAAUGUUGACUUGGAUACAAAUAUAUCAUCCAUCAAAGCAAUUAAUCAACAAAGAGUAUAUAUAUAUAUAUAUAUAUAUAUAUAUAUAUAUAUAUUAAGGGCCAUCCCUUUUUGAGUAUAUAGUUUUACUGGUCUGGUCUCUGAUGGUACGAGUUUUACUUCACAGACUGAGCUGUGGACGGAGGUGUCAGCUGAAUCACCCCAAACUACCAGAGGACCAAAAUCUCCACUCACACACUUUUAUUUCUACGAUCUCAUCUGUCUUGGAUCCUCACUGCUCUGAGACUCCUAUUCUUGAUGGAUUGUGGAGAUUUAUCUUUUUCUUCAUAAAUGACUACUCUGGCCCACUUUCUCUCAGCCCACCCAGUCUGAUUCAACUCUUCAUCAUUUUCCACUUUCUCCUGUCAGAGGACAGGUCUGUACCAAAGACUGUAUAUAAGAUGGACAGAGUCUGCCUCCUCGCUGGGUGAAGCCACUCCGAGAACAGCACCCUCUGAUGGUGGGCUGCAGUACAGGUCAUAAAUCCUGCCUCCGCCAGCAAAGCUUAUGGGACUGUGGACAAACUUUAGAAAUUUAUUACACAGAACAUAAUUUUUCUCCCCCCUGGUUGUGAUGUUGACAUGUAGUUAUUGUAAGACUGGUUUGUGCCCAAGUCCUUUUUUUUCUGUACAGCUCCGUUUUUAAAAGUUAUUAGGG